ACAAUUUUCCCUAAUAAAAGCCACGAGUUCCUCCUUUUCCUUAGGGCUCAGACAUGAGCCGAUUCUAACAGUUUUCCCCAGCUGCUGAGGAUCAAGAAUGAUGUGUUUGGCAUUCUCUUUGGGUUUCCAUCCCAUUUUGUCUGUUGGCACGUUGAUUUAGACACCAUCUUCUUGAUCCGUCUGCCGUAAUUGCUAUUUGAUAGCUUUGUCGUCCCUUUGGACCUCGGUAGCCUCUUUAGAGGUAAAGGUCUUCUUUUUUUUACUUCUUCAGUACUUGCACAGUGCAUUGUCGAGAUAUGGCCUGGUCAAACUUGAUUUUUUCGACUCUUCCUCCGAGGACGCGGAAACAUAUUUUUUGACACUUAAUAGAGGUUAUGGCAUUCAGCUUUAUCAUCCAAGGUCGCCUUAGAAUCCUAUUGUAAGGAGACAAGUCACUUAUUAUCGUGAACAUCUACUUUGAGACACCUGGUAGUGUUCUCACUUCAAGUGUAAUGUUGCCGAUGGCAAUCGAGAUGUUCGUUGAAUUCUGUGAAUACCUCUAUUCGGCGUAUGAUUAUGUUUUCCAGGCCUAUAUUCUGAAUUAUUGAGAGCUGAAGUAGGUUGACUACACUUCCAUUGUCAACCAUCAUUUUGUCGACUAUAGUGUGGGCUAGUUGGACAUAUACCACUAGUACGGUUAUGUGGGAAGUCGACGCUAUCGACAUCCUGUUUGAUGAAGCCAACGAUGGGUCCAAGUUGGGCGUUGACUGCUUGGACCUGUGAGACUAGUAGAGCUUGCUGGAUCUUUCUCUUCUUAGAGUUGUUAGUGGCUCCCAAAUACUCGAAUUCGACGAAGAUGCCAUUGAUCCAUAUUGCCUUCGUUGGUGGUUCUUUGUCGAUGUCUGUGUUUCUUCUACGAUGCGCAGAUGGGUUGUCCAAGUAUCUGUCGACCUUACCUUCUUUCACUAGCUUCUCUAAGUAGUUCUUCCAAGUAUAACAGUCGUCAGUUGUGUGACCGGGACCUCAAUGGAAUGCCCAGUACUUGGUAUGGUCUAACUUUGAGGUAUCUCCUUUUGGUUGCUUCGGCAACUUGAACCAAGGUUCGCUAUUGAUGUCGUGGAGGAUUUGGUGGAUCAGGAUCAAGAACUUAAAGUAGUUAUUCGGUUUCGGGACCCAUUUGAUUGAGGAUCAGUCUUUGCGCUUGGCCUCCUGCCUGCUUUUGUUGUUGUACUGCUUCUCGUCCUCUUUCUUUUGAGUUACUUUUGAUUCUUUUUUAGGCUGCUCGGGUGCCUUGUCUGGUUGCAAUGCCUCGUCCCAAAGUGCAUGUUUCUCUGUCAAAGCGAAAGAGUCUGUCAGAGUUAGAUCUUCUUUCAUGAUCAAUUCUCUGAACAGUGAGAGAUCUGCUGAAAGUCCUUUUUGGAAGGCUGCACUAGCUAUCGAGUCGUUGCAUCCAACUGUCUUUGCCUUCUCUACUUUGAACAUCUUCACAUAAUCACGGAGAGACUCAUUUGGGUUCUUUUUCAUGUUGAACAAGUGGUCGGACUUCUUCUUAAUCGAGCGAUAUGAUGAAUACUCCUUGGUGAAAACCAAAGAAAGCUCAUAGAAACUCUGAAUGGAUUAUGACGGCAAGGUAUGGAACCAAUCUUCCGUCUUGCCUUAUAAAGUGGUGGCAAAUAUUUUGUACAUGAGAGCGUCGUUGUUCCGAUGGAACAUCAUUGGGCUUCGAUAGUGCUUUAGGUGCCUCUAGGUCUCCAUCUCUUUUGAAGGAUGUGAAAUAUCGCAUGCUGAAUUUGUGUGGAGGCUCUACCUGCUUGAUCUCGUCUGUGAAGGGUGACCUGCUUAUGUUAGACAUGUCCCAUUGUAGUGUCUCAUCAGUGACCUCGUCCCAUCAAAAGCCUCUCUACUUCUUCCUGAAUUUACUUUUGUUGGGGUAACGGAGCUCUCGGCUGCCCCUGGUCUUGACCUGCUAGUCUAGUCUGCUCUUCCAUAUGUUCGUCUUGUCUAUGUCACGGUUGCAGUGCAUGUGGUACGUUCCUAGCAGUCGAGCAAAUUUCUCUUAAGCUGCUAGUUUAACUUAAGCCAUAUUUAGUGACUAUUUCUCUCCAUCCGUUAUGCUGCCUACUCCGAUGUGCGGUGGAGGAUGCUCCUUGCCAACCUAGCCGCGAAUGUACACUUCACCUGGAAGGUUGCUCACGUUGAUUAUCAGAAUGUGGCCCCAACUGUGAGUGUAUGCUCGUCCGUGGGCCUAUCCAAUAGUGCACGCUCCUUCACGCGCUAAGACUAGAAUAUAUGCUAUCUUGGGGGCCUAGUCAGGAGUGUACAUUGCCUAAACGUUCGAAUGGCUGCUUGCCAGGACGUUGUUGGAGAGGUUCGCCUGCCCUUGUCCUACUUCGGGACACCUCGUUUGGGGCGUGCUGCAUCUCGAUAUGCUGCAAUAGCUGAUUCAAUUAGGUCGUCUGCUGUACGAGGGUGCUUGUCAACUCUAUUACACUUCGGGAUAAGUGUUGUUCGCCAUUUGGGUUGGAAGAGCUUGGACGGUAUGCGUCUCCCUGAGUAAUGGAGUGUAAUGGACUUUAGGUGCUAGAUUUAAGUUGGAAAAUGUCAAAUCUGCGGAGAAAUGGGGUGAAAAUACCCCCUUGUUCAAUUGUCAGUCUAGAAAUUUGAAGUUGGGACAGUUGAACCAAUCUUGGACCGAUUUGAGCUGCUAGGAGGGCUACGGAAUAGGUUGGGCCAUGUGUACAUGCUACCUUAAGUGCGGCGCGCUUAGGCGCUAGGCUUGGGCUCGCGCUGGCCUUGGACCAGUGAACGCUGGGCUUGGACAACUUAGGCAGUGCGUUAAGCUCAAGCCUACGCUACCGAGGCAGCGGCUUGGGCUGCCUUUGGCACCUGGGUUUACUACUGCACAUUGGAGUGGCCUUAUGGCUACCUCGAUGUUCCCUGCUCACCGUGGGCCGUGGGCUCACCAAAGGCUACUACAAUGGUUACUGAUGUGGUGGCUGCCACGGUGGUGCCGCUCUACUAACCGUCGUGUUAAGUCUCGUGGAUCGUCGUGGUAGGCCUACGUCACGAUCUCCAUCACAUUGUCCAAAUCUUUGAACAUAGUGGUUUCUGAAUUUCUAGUCAUUAUACUUUUCUUUUACAUUUAUUCAAAAAACUUUAUAAAAAAUUCUAGGAAUAAGAACGCAUAAAAAAUCUACGAAUGAGCAAGAAAUGAGAAACUUUGAAUAUGAAAGUCUUCUUCUAGCGUGUGAAUCAAGAUUCUCAAUGAAAACACCAAUUUGUGGAUGCAAAUUUCCACUAUCUUCUCCUUUGAUGAAAAUGCACCUGCAUGCAAAAUAAUAACAACUACGAUUAAGGUCAAAAGCCUCACGAGCCACGAUGAAUGGGGGGAGGGUUUUGACCAAAGAAUCUCCAAUGCCAAAGUUAGAAUUUGAAAGAGAAUGUGUUUGGGAAUUUUUGGGUAGAGAAUGGCUUAGCCUUUUAGUGGGAAAACAUGGCUAUUUAUAGGGGAGUGAUCGGUCAUAUUUGGAGAAUACGGGUCGGCCACAUAUGGUCAAAUUGUGAGUGUAAUUGCAAGAUAUUAUGUUAAAUAAUAUCUUGCAAUUAACUUGGCAAUUAAUCAAAAAUUGAAUAGGAAAAAUGAGAGUUACCUUUUUCAGUGAGGAUUUGAUGAGGAGUGAUGACAGGAUUUUGAAUAAAUACAAUUUUGAUCACCCUUGACUCUUACUUGAUUGAACCGUUAUUGUCCAUUGCAUGCGCGUGAGAAUCCUGGUAUGCCUCGAAUGUAAUUUUGUCCUUUUUACCCAAAAGUGCACGUGUCACCUCCAUAAUUUUCUUGAUUAUUUUUAGCUCCACAGGUAUCUCAAGGUAAAGUCAUGAUAGGACUCUGCCUUCUUGACAGUUUCCUAGAUAUCCUCUCUAUCCUUUGUCUUGCCUUCUUUGGCUGAAACUCAAACCUAUCCGGAUUCGACUUUUUUGACCUGAACUAGAAUUCUGAACCUAAUUCCUUUAGUACUUAAUUCAUUCUUUUCUGAUCAAGCAUAAGUUAUAAUCCUUAGAAUAAUGCAAAUCUUAUUAAAACUCAUCAUGGUAAAGUCAUGAUAGGACUCUGCCUUCUUGACAGUUUCCUAGAUAUCCUCUCUAUCCUUUGUCUUGCCUUCUUUGGCUGAAACUCAAACCUAUCCGGAUUCGACUUUUUUGACCUGAACUAGAAUUCUGAACCUAAUUCCUUUAGUACUUAAUUCAUUCUUUUCUGAUCAAGCAUAAGUUAUAAUCCUUAGAAUAAUGCAAAUCUUAUUAAAACUCAUCAUGAUCCUUGGCAGUUCUAACACUCUCAUUCCUAUUAAAACUCGGUCAAGUCAACCUUUUCGCGAACUGGCCUGAAGAAUAAUUACUGGGUCGAGAACCAUAACUUUUCAACUCGAGUUAUCCCUUCUCAGCCUAAACCCUCUAUUCAGGCCCAAACAAAUAUGCAAGUUAGUAUUAAACGUAACAUGUAUGAAGAAACAUAAAGUAUAUAUUAAUUAGACAUAAUUAACAUGUUAAAAGUGAGUUUUAUUGUUAAUUGAAUCAAGCUUUAGUAUCUAAGUGAGUUUUAUAAUUAACAUAUUUAUUGGUAUUGUUAAUUGAGAUCAGAUUGGGAACCUGUCCACCAACUAAUUCAGGGACGACAACGCUACCGAGGACAUAGUUUUGCUAACAGUGACACCUUCACUUCCAGCAACAUCAGUAGCCUUGUCAUGGGGGACGAGACGGGCUUUUUCAUUUCGGGUGGCGGCUGACUGCAUGACACCAGCCGGACCGCCCUUCUGGGUCUGCCCGAAAAUCAUGGUCUCGGCGGUCUGCAUCAUGUUAGCAUCUUGCGGUGUAACGGGCUUGUCAGCUAGUUGCCCUGAGAUGGAGAAAACACCGCCGUAUUUGAUCUGUUCCGGCGUGUCCUCCUGAUGCCUCCGUGGCUAUUCCUGGCUCAUUUUUAUCAGUAUUUUGUUAUAAAACAACGUUUUUUCAACAACUUUGGUGGUUCUGACUAGUUCUAUACAUACGUGAAGCAGUAAGGGAACAACAUGAGAUUUUUAUAUCGGUGAUAUAUAGUUGUGGAAUGUCAUUGACACGUGGAGUUUUUUGGAGACGUGUCGAGAGAAAGGCCAGGACAGUUCGACUUGUAACGCUACAUUAAUCAGUAGUGCUUGCGUUUGCAGUUUGGUAGAUUGCCAGCCCUUAGCGAGAUUUUUCAAUAUGACCGAUACAUAGAAUGGUAUAUCACGUAUCACUAUACAAAUGGUGAGAUAUGUGUGCUAAAAAAUUAAUAACUUAAAAAAUAAAAAUUUUCACCACUCCUAUUAAAACACGUAGUAUACCACUUGUAUUCUCGUUACAACUAAAAAUUUCUCAUCUAUCAGCUUAGGACACUCAUCAGUUCAUUGAACAAUGAAAGAAAUUAGUUAAUUUUAUUGUAGCUCAAGUUGCUUGGAAUCGGGAUUGGACACUAAAUUAUCCUAUCCUAGUAUCCUCUCACAUCUAAGAGGAUUGUAGUUCAAGUUUUUAUUAGUUCCUGAUAUAACCAAGAACGGGUGUCCGAUUACCUACCUUAUGAAGCUACCAUUUUAAAGUAAAUAAAUUACAGUUCAAACUAUUAAGAGCAUUUACUCAAAUAAUCUAAAUCCGAGUUCUCUCCUUUCACUCUCUCACACUCAUUUCUCACUCUUUAUCUCUCACUCACUCUCAAUCUUGCCAAAAUAUAUUUUCUCCCUAAAUUUUUAAUUUUUUUCAUAAAUAUGUGUUUUUGGAGUUAAUUUUGGGUUUGGGGUAGGGGAUAGGGUGAGGGGUGGAGUUUUGGGUCGGAUUUGGGGCAUGCCGAUUUUGGGGAGGAGCAAUUUUUUUGGUAUAAUUUUAUGUUGUUUUUUCGUUAUUUGACCAUAUUUGUUUUUUCAAAUCGUUGGGACUUUGACGGUGGAAGUUAAGGAGUUGAGGAUUAGGACGCUAUUGGACCAUAUCCCCCACCACCACCACCACAAUAGACUUGUAUAGGAUUUUAUUAUUUUACUUUGUUAAUUUAUAGGUACAUUUUAAUAUAAUAUAUAUUAUGGAUAAUUUGAUCAUUAUUUUUCACUUGUAAUUUUGUUUUGAAUAUGUCAAUUUAAAUUAAAGUAAUUAAAAAAUAAAGCCAUAUAAUUAAAUUAAAUUAAAAAAGAAAAAUUCCAAAAAUCUUGCUCUAUCAAAUAUUUUGUCGCUCAAACAAUUAAUAUAAUUAAAUUAAAAUAAGAGAAAUAAUAAAACAGAAAGUCAAAGACUUGCGCGACAAAAUAUUUUGUUGCACAAACAAUUAAUUUCGUCAAGCAAAAUAUUAAAUUAAACAAUCAAAUUAAAAUUAAAAAACCAAAAACUUUGCGCGACGAAAUAUUUCAUUGCGCAAAGUAGCUUCGCACGAUGAAGACAAAUUUUUGUCGCGCAAACCCUAUCUUCAUGAGCUUUGCACGACGAAUCCUGCGCAACAAAAAUUUCGUUGCGCAAGGUUUUGAGCGACGUAAUCAUGCUUUGCGCGACAAAUCUUUUUUCGUAUCAUAAAAUGUUUUUUUUGUAGUAGUGGGGGUAGUGUGUUGGAUAGUUCCUUGAGCUCAUAUAACAACGCAAGGUUUUGAGCGACGUAAUCAUGCUUUGCGCGACAAAUCUUUUUUCGUAUCAUAAAAUGUUUUUUUUGUAGUAGUGGGGGUAGUGUGUUGGAUAGUUCCUUGAGCUCAUAUAACAAGUGUACCUCUUAGAUUCUUUCCUAGCUUAUGGUUUACAUGCUGCCAUUAGAUUACCAUGUGUCACAAUCUCAUGGAAUUCUACAUUAGGUUUGGAUCUUUGCAUCAUUGUCAAAUUCCAAGGAAUGUAGCCGUUUGGAAUCAAAUCAUCAUUUUACACAGAAAUGAAAUAGUUCUUUUGAAGCUUUCAUCGUCUCCAUUUUGUUCCUUUACAUUUCUGGAAAUACAAAGACCACAAGCUGAAAUUAGCUAUUCAACAUUAACACUGCAUACGUUGCAAGUUUGCAACUUAUUAUAUAUAUGUAAUUAAAAUUUAUUGAUCGUCUUCAUAUCUAUCCCACUCGACCAUUCGAAAGCUGCCUUCGGUGGUGCUGUGGAAUUCAUUGAGGUGCUGCAACCUCCAGCCCAUUCCCUGCACGAGUAAAGACUGAUUCAGAAAACGAAAGGAAAGCGUCGAAGAAUACAUGAAUCCCACAACCAAUAGUUGAAAAAUAAAAAAUAAAAAUCUUGACUGAAAGAAAUUACAAAGACUCAUAGUAUGAUAAUUGAUAGGUAUUUUUACCACCUGCAAAAAUAGAGAUAAAAACACUAAUAAAAACACUAAAAUACUUGCAAGAGUACAAGAUAAUUGUAGUAAAGACGGCUCUAGCAAGGUUGUUUUCCACAAGGAUUGAAUGAAUAAUUUAUGUUAAAUCAAAUCUUAAUUAAUUACUUAAAACAAAGUUAGAGAAAAAGUUAAUUUUUUUUAUUUCAAAUAAUAAAAAGGAAUUUAAUAGAAAAUAAUUAAAUAAAGUGAUAAAAGAAAAUAAUUUUUGAAAAUUAAAUUGUAAAAGCCUAGCUAGGAUUCCACUACUACAAAAUUAUCUAUAACUGACGGUUCAAAAACCAACAAAAAACAUUUAUUACUGUCGGAUUUUAAGCAAAAUCUGACAGAAAAUGAAUGCAGUGACGGAUAUAAUAAGUGACAGAAUUGCCUACGUCAAGAAAUGAAUUUUCCGAUAGAAAAUACUCUAAAACAGACAGAAAUAUUGUCGGUUAUAUCCGACAGGAUAUAUAUUUAUAAUAAAUAAAUAAGAGAAUUUAUGUUGGAUAAAACCGACAGAAAAUACAAAAACCGCCAGGAUUUCUGUCGGUUAUAGCCGACAGAGAAUUUAUUGUAAAAAUAAAUAAAAUCAUUCUUGUCGGAUAAAACCAAUAGCAAAUAUAUUAAUAAUAAAAAAAAAUAUUUCUGCAUUUUCCAUAUCCUGUUGUCUCCUAGGGAGAUUUCCUGCUUUGGGCAGUUAUUUAUGAAACUUGCUGACUUGCAGUGGAUAUGACAAUGCUCCAGAAGCGCCGUGCUAUUGCCAAAAAUGAAGUCCACACUUCCUUCAACAUAGCAAUCUUUGAGAUACUGUUUUCCAUAAUGCAAGUACAAGGUAUCCUGCAUUAAUAUUCGAAGGAACCCACCAAUUAGACUGAUAACUGCUCUCAUUUAUCCUCAAAUAGCUCAUGAUUACCCGGUAAAAACAGUAAAAGUUUGAACCCAACAGGAAAUUUAAGAAAAUGACACCAAUUGGGGCAAUGGGUAUGCCUGCCAUCCAAGGAACCUGCAGUUAUAGAAGGCACAUCGAUCAGCUGUUACUCUAAUUGCCACAGCUUGACCUGAACCCUACCAACAAAACAAAGGGAAGAAAAAGUUAAACACAAUGUUCAGAGUGAAUGAAGUUCAAAGAGUGAAAGGAAAGUCCAACAUUCAUAACACUCCAUAGAAAAAAACCAAACCAAACCAAACCAACACAAACCAACAAGUUCAAAAUUUCAACUUCAAAUUACAAGUUUCACCAUGCUCAAUGUACAAAAAAACAAUAAAAAAACCAUGAAAGAACAAGCAACUAUUCAUCAAUUAGGUAACAAACAAAAAGAUAGACAUCGGACAAAAGAAAAUCAAAGUUCCCUUAUUAACGACCCAUGUCAGCUACUAAAGAUAAUAUCUUCCACUCUAUAAAGUAAAAAUCUACACUAAAUUUUCAACGUAAAAUUAUAUUAUAUGCAACAUGAACAAAUACACUACUCACCUACAGUCGUUUAAGCAAAGUCACAAUCUUUGUGAUCCAGUCUUCAAUCCCACACACAUGCACAAAUACACUACUCACAAACUACUAGUUUCACCAUGCUCAAUGUACAAAAAAACAAUAAAAAAACCAUGAAAGAACAAGCAACUAUUCAUCAAUUAGGUAACAAACAAAAAGAUAGACAUCGGACAAAAGAAAAUCAAAGUUCCCUUAUUAACGACCCAUGUCAGCUACUAAAGAUAAUAUCUUCCACUCUAUAAAGUAAAAAUCUACACUAAAUUUUCAACGUAAAAUUAUAUUAUAUGCAACAUGAACAAAUACACUACUCACCUACAGUCGUUUAAGCAAAGUCACAAUCUUUGUGAUCCAGUCUUCAAUCCCACACACAUGCACAAAUACACUACUCACAAACUACAAGUUUCACCAUGCUCAAUGUACAAAAAAACAAUAAAAAAACCAUGAAAGAACAAGCAACUAUUCAUCAAUUAGGUAACAAACAAAAAGAUAGACAUCGGACAAAAGAAAAUCAAAGUUCCCUUAUUAACGACCCAUGUCAGCUACUAAAGAUAAUAUCUUCCACUCUAUAAAGUAAAAAUCUACACUAAAUUUUCAACGUAAAAUUAUAUUAUAUGCAACAUGAACAAAUACACUACUCACCUACAGUCGUUUAAGCAAAGUCACAAUCUUUGUGAUCCAGUCUUCAAUCCCACACACAUGCACAAAUACACUACUCACAAACUACAAGUUUCACCAUGCUCAAUGUACAAAAAAACAAUAAAAAAACCAUGAAAGAACAAGCAACUAUUCAUCAAUUAGGUAACAAACAAAAAGAUAGACAUCGGACAAAAGAAAAUCAAAGUUCCCUUAUUAACGACCCAUGUCAGCUACUAAAGAUAAUAUCUUCCACUCUAUAAAGUAAAAAUCUACACUAAAUUUUCAACGUAAAAUUAUAUUAUAUGCAACAUGAACAAAUACACUACUCACCUACAGUCGUUUAAGCAAAGUCACAAUCUUUGUGAUCCAGUCUUCAAUCCCACACACAUGCACAAAUACACUACUCACCUGUCUCUGAACCUUGCAGCAUGGUCCCUUGGGUGAUCCCAACGACCCAUCCACCAUCAGCAUCGGGCUGCUCAACCGCAACUGAAACCGCCACAAUAUCCCCUUUCUCGACAUGAGCAGUGCAACCCAGUACACCAGGAACAUACACCUACAUAUCAAAACCCCCCCCCCCAAAAACAACCUCCUUCAUCCACCACUGAGUAACCAAAGCAAAUAAUUUCUCGAAAGAAAAUUGAAAAAUGCUAACCUGGGCACCUCGAAGAACUGCCUCGGCACAUUUCCGGCUCACAAAAAACCUCUUUCGGAGGCUUCUCAUCUGCAGCACAGCCAUAAUCAAUGGCGUGCGGGCCCGAACCCUUCACAAACAGCUUCACACUUGGAAAUGUCAGCUCCUUUUUCUUUCAGAACCGUCCUCAGCUUCUCAAUGGCGGCAUUCGGCGUCGAGUUUUGGUGGCGGUGUUGUUCCAGGUGAGCACAGUGAGCUCUGAAGCCAGACCCGCGAGCGUGAUGAGGUUCUUCGUCUUGGGCACGUACACCGACUGCCCCGUAUUUGAGGUAAAUGAGGAGAGAAAAGAAGGAGAAGGAAAUGAGGAGAGGACAAAAGGGGGAAGGGAGAAGUACCGGCACAAGGAAGAGAUGGAGGGAUGACAUUGUGGAAAUGUUUUAUUACUGUCGCUUAAAACCGACAGAAAUAUUUUUUUUAAAUAAAAACCGAAAGAAACUUUUCAUUAAUGUCGGUUAUAACCGAUAGAAACAAAAUGUCGGCAAAAAUCCUCCCAAAAUUCCCUCUAAAAAUUUUAAACUUUUCCCCAAAUUUUGUUACGAUUUUAAAAAAUAAUAAUUGUUUGGUUUAAUAAAUAAAUAAAUAAUAUGUAUUUAAAUAGAAUAUGUUUUUAAAAAUUAAAUAAAUAAUUGUAUGGUUUAAUAGAUAAUUUUUACAUUUUUUGUUUAAUAGAUAAUAAUCCAUGUAAAAUAUGCGAUAAAGAAACGAAAAGAGAAUUGUACAAUGAAAAUGUCUUCACACAAACUAAAUAUUGUCUAAUCAAUACUUGAAAAACAUAAAUAAAAAUUUAGCACAAGUUAUUUUUCCCACUUCAAAAUUUUGGCAAAUUUAUGCAUUCUACGAAACUAGUUUAAAAUAUUUACACUAGUAGAUACCACAAAAUCUUAUUUUAUACUUAAUAGAAGUAUAAUAUUAAUUCUAAGUGUUUGUAUAAUCUACCAUUUUGACGCAAUAUGCAUUCUACGAAACUUUUUUCAACGAUCCAACCGUCAAACUUAUUUGUACACACUCCGAGAUUGCAUAUGUAAAAAAUCGUAAAAAACAAAAAUUUAGAGAUUAGGUAACGGAACAAAAGUUUUCGACGGUAAUAAAAGAAAAUUCACAAUUUAACGGUUAUUUUAGCUCUAAUUUUGAUGAUUUUUUACAGCUACACUCCUCAACCCUAUAAGAAUGUAAUGAAUAAAUUUGAUCUUCAAUUAAAAUAUUUAUACUAGUGGAUACCACAAAAUCUUAUUUUAUACUUAAUUGAAGUAUAAUAUUAACUCAAGUGUUUGUUUAAUCUACCGUUUUGACGCAACAUGCAUUCUACGAAACUUUUUUCAACGAUCCAACCGUCAAACUUAUUUAUACACACUCCGAGAUUGCAUACGUAAAAAAUCGUAAAAAACAAACAUUCAGAGAUUACAUAACGGAACAAAAGUUUUCGACGAUUAUAAACAAAAAAUCACAAUUUAACGGUUAUUUUAGCUCCGAUUUUGAUGAUUUUUUACAGCUACACUCCUCGACCCUAUAAGAAAGCAUUGAACGAAUUCGAUCUUCAAUUUAAAAUAUUUACACUAGUGGAUAAUUUUUUAUACUUAAUGGAAGUAUAACAUUAACUCUUAAGUGUUUGUUAAAUCUAUCAAUUUGAUAGGAUAUGCAUUCUACGAAACUAGUUUCAACAAUCCAACUGUCAAAUAUGUUUGUAUAUACUCCGAGAUAGCAUGUGUCAAAAAUUACAAAAAAAAAAAAAAAAAAAAAAACAUUCAGAGGUUAGGUAACAGGACCGUGAGUGAAAAAAAAAUUAAACCAUUUGUUUAUUUAUUUAUUUAUUUUUAAUCAAUGUAACAUUUUAAAAUAAUAAAAUAGUCAAUUUAUGUCGGUUAUAACUGCCACCAUUAACUUAGAAACCGCCAGAAUAUGUUAAAAAUAUUUAAAAAAAAAGAAUUCAAAAAUACUGAGGGUUAUAAUAAAUUAUGUGUCGGAUAUCUUUUAUCUGUUAGAAUGACUUAUUAACCGUCAGGAUCGUCCGACACCUAAAGCUAGUAUUGUAGUAGUGUUCUGCCAUCACCUUAACAAUCAUAUGUAAUUCUUCCAAUUACUUAUGAAUUACACAUGCAUAUUUUGAAGGUUGGGUUUUCCUAAUAUAUGCCUACUUGGACCCCCAACAUAGAGCGUUAUGGUAUUCAGAUCAAAUCUAAACAUGCAUGACUCAUUAAGCUUUGUGAAACCUUUUGAAAAACCAUACAACCCUUAAGACGUGGUAUCCAUCCUAAGUGAACUUGCACAUAUUAAUCACAAGAAGCCUUCGUCAAUUUCAAGGACCAACCUUCGACCAAAAUUGCAUCAAAUUACUUUUCUAAAGAUCCUAAUGGUAGCUAAGCAUUAAGACAAUUAGACAAUAUAAACUGGUGAUUUAUAAUUCAACCUGCAUGCAUAAUAUCAUAAGCAAAUUGAAAAGAAACUACAUAUUCUUGCUAAGGCUCGUGGCCUCGACCUAGCAAACGGAAUUUAGUUACUAACAAUCAUACAACGAAAUAUUAUUAAAAACAAUGAUAGAAAACACCUUGAAUCCAAAAGCUCUCUAAAGUGUGUGUGCGUUUUCUCCCCAUUUUCUACUUAACCCUAAUGGCUAAAUAUUUUAUUUAUACUAAUACAAAAUAAAACCCUAAAAAGUUUUAGAGUAAAACUAGGAAACAUAAUUAAAUAAUAACAUAGAAAAUAAAAAGGUUUCCUAUUUGAACUAAAAUUCGAACUUCUCAUAAAAUCAGACUUUUGACCGACCAAAUCAACUCCGAUUUGGUCCCAAAAGAUCUCUUUUGAAAGCUGAAGUCGUCCCCUACAAAUCCUUAGCAGAAAUCUUCCUCAAAAUAUACCCUCUUAACCUCCAAAAUACCCAAAACAUCCAAAAACGUCAAUAUGAGAAAGCUGUGCAUUGGGCCUUUAUUUCAUCACCACGGUCAUACGGCUAAGUAGAAAAAUCUGAAACUUUGAUACAAUCAUCUUGAAAGACUCACGAACAUCCUUCCAUUGGAAUUACUCCAAAAUUCAUCCAUUUGAUCACUUUUUGUUCCAGAGGAAGACGAAUGUCCUACAUUAGAAAUAUAAUUCAAAGUAUCAAAAUUCACACAUAAUAACCAAUAAAUUAUUACUAAAAUUAGGGUAAAAUAUAUAGUAUAAUAUCGACUCAUCAAUAAUGGGGAAACUUAUUGAAAUUCAUAAUCAUAAAACUCUGUGUAUGUGUAUAUAAAAUAGUUGUGAUACAAAAAUCUUACCAUCUAUAUCAAAGAGGAAGACUUGCUGCAGAAGCGUACCAUCAUCGAGGCACCUCUCAGAAGUCUGAAUUCCCUUCUCCUGCAAGUCCAAAUUUGUUCAGACAAAUCGCGAUCGUGUCAAAUAGAGGAAGAAAAAUAUAAGUAAAUAAAACGAGAACAAACAAGCAUGCUAGCUUUGAAACUUGCAAGAUAAACAACCAAAUUUAUGUGUGCGCUUUAGAUCCGCCACCGCUGAGCAGUUGCAGAUUCACAUAAGGACCAGGAUAGGCACAAGCCCCUUCUGCAUGCAGCUCCCACCACAGCAUUAGCAUGUUGGUUUACAAGACUUUUAUAAACCACCGUUUUACUGCAUGAAGGUGGUGAAAGAAAAUUUUUUUAUCUUAAAAUAAGGUCUACUAUAUGCUGUGUUGCCUUGGUAGCAGUUCUGUAGAAACACAGCUGCGAGGCACGGUAAAGAAUAAAACCAAUAACAAAAGUCUAGAAUAUUUGUGAAAGUUCUUUUACUCGUUGUUUGAGUUGUUGUAUAAAUACACACAGAUGGUUCAGCUAUACAAGUGUCCUAACGGGAUUAUAUUUCUCCCAAUACAACCUGAUAAUACAGCAGCAUUAAUACUUAGAGUUUAUCACAUAACAAAGGAAGGUAAGAUUGGUUAGGACUCUACUUUAAACACACCCCCCCCCCCCCCCCCCGGGAAACUGCAUCAGAGGAUGAACAAGUUUGGACCGAAGGACGAAAUGCCAUGCCUUGAGUAAGCCUUUUGUCAACAAGUCUGCAGGCUGAUCAACUGAAGGUAAAAACCGAACUUGGUCGCUGCCGAAGGCCACGCGUUCGCGUACAAAAUGGUAGUCCAACUUGAUGUGUCUCGUGCGGGCAUGGAAUACGGGGUUGGCAGCCAUGUAUGUGGCGCUAAUAUUAUCACAAUAAGGGUAAAUAGGGAACUGAGUGCAGACUCCAAGUUCAUAAAACAAAUAGGUCAGCCACGUAGUUUCAGCGCAGGCAUGGGAUAAAGCCCGAUUUUCACAUUCGGCGCUAGAUUUCGACACCGUGGGCUGCUUUUUAGAAGACCAGGAGACUAAAUUUGUGCCGUGAUAAAUCAAAUAACCCGUGGUUGAGCGGCGGGUAUCGACACACCCCACCCAAUCGGUGUCAGAAUAGGCUGAAAUGAGGGCAGAAGGAGGUUGUGGUCGAAGAAGCAAACCUUGAUCAAUAGUCCCUUUGAUAUAGCGUAAUAUACGCUUGACAGGCAAGAGAUGAGGCAAUCGAGGGUUACUCACGUACUGUGCGAUGCUGUUAACAGCAAACGAAAUGACGGGACGUGUUAACGUUAGGUAUUGGAGGCAGCCCACAAGCAUACGGAACUCGGUAGGAGAGGACAGAAGAGUAUUGAGAAAUGAUUUCAUUACUUUAUAAUUAGUUACACUGAGGUAUUUAUAUAAACUAGAUUUACAAAGGUAAAGAGAAUAGUUACAGUGGUAACUAUUUGUAACUAUUCUAACAACUAACUAACUUGACUAACACUAAUGUUUUACAAUGGUAACUUGCUCUUCACACCCCCUCAAGCUGAACGGAGAAGGUUGAAGUGAAAGCUUGGAACGAAGAAGAAGAAAACGUGGUCUUGGCAGAGAUUUGGUGUGAAUAUCCGCUAAUUGAUCCACACUGCAAACAAAUUUGACAGUAAGAAGCUUAGCUAAAACAAGCUCACGGAUGUAAUGAUAAUCGAUUUCAACAUGCUUUGUUCGAGCAUGAAAAACCGGAUUUGAAGCCAAGGCAAUUGCAGAAACAUUGUCACACCAAAUUUGUGGCAAGGAGGACAAUUUGAAUCCAAUAUCAGAGAAGAGUUGACAGAUCCAAGUGAUCUCAGCAGCGGUAUGGGCAAGGGAGCGGUACUCAGCUUCGGUAGAGGAUCGGGCAACUGUGUGCUGUUUCUUUGCACUCCAACUAACGAGACAAGGACCAAGAAAGAUGCAAAAGCCACCAGUGGAACGUCUAUCCCACGAACAUCCUGCCCAGUCAGCAUCGGAGUAGGCGUUGAGAAGUAGGGGAGAUGUGGUUUUGGGAAACCAUAAGCCAAAUCCAAGUGUCCCUUUUAGAUACCGGAGGAUGCGUUUCACGGCUUGAAAGUGAGGCUCCCGGGGAGAGUGCAUGAACUGACACACCAGAUUAACCGCAAAGGAUAAAUCAGGCCGGGUCCAUGUAAGAUAUUGGAGAGCGCCAACAAUAGAACGAUAGUCCUCAGGAUUCGACAACAAGGAACCAGUGUGAUCAAGCUUGACAGAACUAAGGGGAGUGGCACAUGGCUUUGCCCCAUGCAUUUUGGUACGCUUGAGAAGAUCCAAUAUGUAUUUGGAUUGAUGAAUGAAGGCUCCUGAGGUGGAUUUCUGAACUUCCAGACCUAGAAAAUAAUGAAGAUCGCCGAGAUCCUUGAUUGGAAAUUUAGAUCGCAACUGAGAAAUGAUGGUGUUGCAGACACUAGAAGAAGGUCCAGUCACUAUGAUAUCAUCGACAUACACAAGAACCAAAACCAAGGUAGGUUUAUGCAGCACAAACAGACUAUGAUCAGAGUGUGAAGCUUGAAAUCCCAUGGAGAAAAGAGCAGAUUGAAGUUUUUCAUACCAAGCACGAGGGGCUUGCUUUAAGCCAUAUAAGGAUUUCUUCAAGUGACAGAUAUGAGUAGGAUGAUCCUGAUCAAUGAACCCAGGAGGUUGAGCCAUAUAUACAUUCUCUUUCAAAGAACCAUGUAGAAAAGCAUUACUUACAUCCAGCUGGUGUAAAAACCAGUUUGAUUGGACGACGAGGGUGAGAAUGAUGCGGAUAGUCACAGGUUUAGCAACCGGGCUAAAAGUAUCACCAUAAUCAAUGCCCUCUUGCUGAUUGUAACCCUUAGCAACGAGUCUAGCCUUGUAACGAUCCACAAAGCCAUCUGGUUUCCUCUUAAUCCGGAAAACCCAUUUACAGCCAACCAAAUUAUGAGUGGAGGUAGAAGGAACAAGCUGCCAAGUGCCUGUACUUUGUAAAGCAUUGAAUUCAUCCUGCAUAGCAGCCCUCCACUGUGAAUGUUUGGAAGCCUGGAGAUAUGUAGUAGGUAUAAACUCACUGUCAAAAUGAGAAGGCAGAUGAUGUGUUGUGGCAGUAAGGGCCUUAGGUUUGUAUAUGCCUGACUUAGAUCAGGUUUGCAUUGGGUGAAUAGAGGAAAUAGGAGGUACAGGAUGUGGUGCAGGGUGUAGAGAAUGAGAGGCUGGUAGAGGAGAAGAGGGAGGUGAGGGAGGUUGCAGAGGUGCAGGACAAGGAGCAGGAGAAUUAACGUGCUUAGGUUGAGGAACUUGCUCAGGUUGAGUAACUGGCGCAGGUUGAGUAGGUGAGGAAGAUAUGGGUGGUGGAACACGGGAAGUGAAAGAAUGAGGGGAAUAAAGAUUGGGAAAGGUAAGGGAAAAAGGUGAGUAAGCUUCUGGGGUAUGGGGAGUGGAGGACUGUAGAAGGUGGGGAUCAUGAAAGGGAAAUGUAUGUUCAUCAAAAUGAACAUGUCUAGAGAGAUAAACCCGAUUAGUGAAGGGAUCUAAACAUCUAUACCCCUUGUGAGCUAAGCUGUAGCCAAUGAAAACACACAUCUUGCUCUUGGGAUCUAAUUUGGAAUUGGUGUAUGGUUUUAACCAAGGAAAGCAUUGACAUCCAAAGACCCGAAGAGACUUGUAAUCUGGAACUUUCUUGAAAAAUUGUUCCCAAGGGGAAGACUUGUUGACUGGAGGUAGGCGAUUGAUAAGAUAGACGGCAGUAAGAAAACCUUCAACCCAGAAUUUGUGAGGAACGUGUGAGGCAAUAAGGAGCGUUCGAGCAGUCUCAACAAUAUGUAUGUGCUUCCUUUCAGCACAACCGUUUUGCUGAGGAGUGUAAGGACAACUGAAUUGUUGCUGAAUGCCAAGGAAAGACAAAUGAUGCUUGAAGUUAGAACUUGUAAACUCACCCCCUGAGUUUGAUCUUAAAGUGCCAAUUUUGUAACCAGACAGAUUCUCAACAAGAGCUUGGAAUUGGACAAAAAUGUGAAACACUUCCGAUUUAUGUUUGAGAGGAUACAGCCAAGUAUAUUUGGUAAAAUCAUCUACAAAUAUGACAUAAAAGCGAUAGCCACGAACAGAACAUACUAGAGCUGGCCCCCAAACAUCCGCAUGAACUAAUUCAAGAGACCUAGAAGUAGUACAGAGAGAUUCUUGAAAUGGUAACUUGUCAUAUUUGCCUAAAACACAAUUGGAGCAGAAGAAUUGUUGAACAUUAUUAGAAACAGGCAGUAUAGACUUUGAUAACAGUGAUCGAAAAGUCUUGAACGUUGGAUGACCCAAUCGUUGAUGCCACACAUGAGAAGAGGUCCUUAUUGCAGAAUGAGCAUGAACCUUCGGUGCAGUUGAAGAAGAAGCAUAAAAUGGAUAGAGACCAUUGCUGACAGGAGCUCUAAAAAACAUCUUCCCCGUAGUAAGAUCCUUGACAUGGAAGUCAAAAGGAUUGAGGGUUAGUGAACACCAAUUAUCACGCAAGAACAUAUUGGCAGAAAGAAGAUCAUGCUUCAAGUGGGGAACAUGUAACACAUUCUUUAAUUGAAAAUCUGCAUAAGGGGUUUUAAGUAAAGUAGAACCAAUAUGGAGAAUUGGCAAACCUUGGCCAUCUCCAAUGUAGACUUUAUCUGGACCAGUAUAGGGCUGUGGAUUCUGAAGAUGAUGAAUAUUAUUGGAGGUUGUUGUUAUUUCGUCCAAAUGGACGACCAUUUUUGUUUUGUCGGUGAUAGCCACCAUUAUUAUUAUGAUGAUUGAAAUUGCCACGAUUAGCAUUCCAAUUGUUGCCAUGGUUUCGUGAAUUAUUCUAAGGAGUGCCACGUGGUGCUUGAGUGGUGAGGAAAGUGAUUUGAGAGGCCGCCACAGGGGUGGUGAAGGGGCGUGGAUUUUGAACAUCAAAGGCCACAAUUUUGGAGUGCAGUUCCUCAAAGGUGGGCAAAGGAGUGACGUUGAUGAUGGCAAUGGUGAGCAUCAAAUAUUCCAGACCAAGAACACGAAGAACAGUGGUUAUGAAAUCUUCAGGAUCAACAGGACGGCCAAUGUUGGCAAGUUUAUCAGCAAAGGAUUUGGCCUAUUACAAGUAGUCGACAACAAAACGAGACCCUUUGGUUAAAUCAAGUAACUAAUAUUAGAGGGUGGCAGAAUUGGUCACAGAGCAAUGGGCAAAACAACAUUGAAGACAGUUCUAGAUGGCUUGUGCAGAGUCAUGGCCAAUGGUAAGGGUGAGAACAGGCUCCGUCAACGUAGAGGUUAUGUAACUAACAACUAAUUAAUCUUGUUGAUACCACGUGAGAAAUUCAGAAUUAUGAAUGGUGGACGAAGUGAUGGUAAUGGUGGUGACCACCAAGGUGCUAUUAGAGUCGAAUGACAUGGGGAUAUGAGGGGCAGUAACAGUUAGGGUGGCCGUCAGUGAGGGAUGUGAGGCAUCAAUGAAUUUCUAGAAAUCAUGGCCAAUGAGGAAUGGCUUGAUUUGACGAAGCCACGUGAGGUAGUUGGAGUCGGUUAGUUUCAGGAACUGCGUCUAUUUGGGCCCAAAAAUAUUGGUUUGGGCCGAGUUUAGAUUUGUUCUCGGCCCAAAGGCCAUGCUUAGAAGUCACUGGAGGGCAUCCGGCUUAUGGGCCACAUAGCCAAGGUCCUCCGUGUUCUAUUAGGAAUCCAUUGGUGGUUAAAUCCUGAUACGAGAAGGAGUUUCGGCAAGAUAAGAAUGUAGAAGUUUGGAUUGAAUGCGGCUUGAUAAGGGGGUUGAGUUCAAAGUCCUAGUAGGAGUAGGACUGGCCGAGAUAAGGUUAGAUCAGGGGAAGAAGUUCUAGUCCGAGUAUGGUUGUGAUUCGAGCGGAAGCAGGUUAAUUACUAUAAAUAGAGGGAGAAAGACAUCAUUAAAGGCCCCCUCCAUUUCAGCACACAAAAUGCCCUGCGCAAACCCUUGCUUUCGCGAAACCUCUCAACAACCUUGAGAUUUUUAGUUUCUUCUUUCGCCGACACAUUUUCAAUUUGGAUAAACAGCACUGUGAAGGCAACCGAUGAACAUCUUCAGUUUGAAUAAACAGCAAUGUUGUCGUAGAAUCAGCCGACCGCGGAACACCUUCAAUUUAGAUAAACAGCACUGCGUCGAGGCCGACUGGUUAUCUAUCCAAGUCUCGGUCAAGAAGGAUUUUCGAGUCCUUAUUGGCAGAGGUCAUCUCAUUAGCCUUCUCGGCAAAGUAAGGUGUUACAAAUUACUGGGCUUAGCACAUUGAACGUCGAGUUAUUUUAUGAUUGGAUCUCACAAGUAGGUUUAGAGUUCGGCAUUCUGAUGGCCGAACCACGUUUACCAUUAAGACAUAUAUCUGUUUUGAGUAUCUGUGCCCCUAUACUCUGGUGUCAAUUCGGCUUGCUUAUACUCUUAUGAAUAUAAUCACUGUGACCGAAUCCGGCGCCGAUGAUUUGUGAACUUCGCAGAACUAGUAGCCUUGUCUUCAGGCUUUAAAACCCGAAGGCCGAGAGUGUUCAUUCCUCGGCUGCAGUAGCAAGAUCGAGAAGUCGUGCGCUCAACACGACAUCAACACAUUUUACUCCUCUGCUGAGCUCGGCCGACGAGUUGGCACGCCCCGCAUACAACCGAAUGAUGUAGUUAGCUCAUUAGUUACUCGGCCUGCACGCCACGUAGGCUUGGUAAUUUUUAGGGUCAACAGCGCCACAUUAGGUCCGAGAAGUGAAGAGGAUGAAGACAUAGUGAGGCAGAAAGCAAGAUCGAAGGUUGUUAAGCCAGAAUGAGGAGUGAGGUAGAAAACAAGAUCGAAGGUUGUUAAGCCAGAAUGAGGGAUGAUACAAUGUUGAAACACAGCUGCAGAGGCACGGUAAGGAAUAAAACAAAUAACAAAAGUCUAGAAUAUUUGUGAAAGUUCUUUUACUCGUUGUUUGAGUUGUUGUAUUAUUGUAUAAAUACACACAAAUGGUUCAGCCAUACAAGAGUCCUAACGGGAUUAUAUUUCUCCCAAUACAACUAGAUAAUACAGCAGCAUUAAUACUUGGAGUUUAUCACAUAACAAAGGAAGGUAAGAUUGGUUAGGACUCUACUUUAACAAGUUCUAAGCCAUGACGUUUUCAACAAUUAGUUCAUCUUUUUGAUAUAUAUAUAUAUAUAUAUAUAUAUAAUCUUGUAAUACUAGUUAUCCCAUGAAAUCUAAAGCUUCAUCAUUUCUCUUUAGUUUUAAAUUAUUCAUGAUAAUGUCACUCACAUUUACGUGCAUUUUUCUCCACUUGUGAAUAGGUGAUUUUAGGUUCAACUCUCAUUAAUAGCUAGUGGUUAUGAUAUUAAAUUAUUAUUGCUCAGUCAUUAUAUGGCUUACCUCAAUAUUUAUUCUUACUAUAAAAUAUUGUUGUAUCAAAAUAUUUAUACAUGCCAACACAACGAAACCUCAUAAUUUUCUUACGUUACUUAUAUUGUACUUAAUUCCUUUAAUAAAGUCUACAUAGUCUAGCCUAAAGGCCCCUAGCCUCGACACUUAUGGCUCCAUCACUACCGCCGAGUGCAGAUCUCUACUAUCCGUGGACCAUAAAGUCUCAUAGAGACAGUUCUCAGACACGUAGAUAUUAAAAUAUCCAGCAAGAAACACUGGUAAAAGGCUCUGGGAUAAACUUGGAGUGGAUGUGUAGAAAUGAUCCGUGUCGGAAGUUUAUUAAACAUUGCAUUUGCUUAUAACUCAUAAGGAGCAAAAGGAGAACAAACCCUAGCACCAAAGGCUAGUCCAUAUAAAAGGUUUUCACUAUCAAAAAUCAACCAGCAACAAUAAAAUACAUAAUGCAUUGCAUAUAUACCUUGAGGGUUUGGACUAAUGACGGAAGAUUGGAGACAGUGAAGCAGAUAUGUUGGCCUCUGCCGAGAUGGACCGGAUUAGCUUCAGGUAACUUGGCGGUAAAUGGCCCUUCUGGAAGGUUAAAACUAAGGUUUUUCUCAAUGAAGUGAAAAGCUAAAUUUCCAGGGACCAUGAGCUAUAACACCUUCACUCCCGCAAAGGUUGAGGCAGUUGAAUAUCAAAGUGCGCAAGCCUCUAGGAGCCCCCUAAAUGGAAACCAUUGGACAAAUUGGCAUCUUUAGAAUAAACUCAUAAGCUCGCUCUACCAUACCAGUUUGGCCUAGCAAGUCCACAACACAAGCAUAAUGCUCUGCCUCUAGUUCAAUUCCAUACUUAGAUGUCAUUGACUAAAAAAAUCUGCAUCCUCAUUUACACGGUCCCUGCUCUACUACAUGCUGAUAAUACACAGACCAAUGUAACAUAAUUUGGUUUAACCUCAUGACUUCAGGCGCACAUUUCCUCGAACAACGCCAAAGCCAUGUCAGCAUGUCCUUGAUGUGCAUAUGCACUUACCAUUGCGUUCCAAGUGAUCAAGUUCCACAAAGGCAUCUCAUCAAAGGCACGAUGGGCAUCUUCUAUGCUCUCAUAUUUUCCAUACAUGUCAACAAGUGCACUCCCAACAAAUACAUUUCCCUCCACACAUGCCUUCACUGCAACUGCGUGAACUGACCUACCAUGUUUAAUCCACACAACCCCAACACAAGCGCUUAGAACACUCGAAACCAUGAAAUCAGUUGGCUUAACACCUUAUUCCCUUACCCGUAAAAUAACUCGCAUGCCUUCUCCUCCUCAUCAUUCUACACACACGCAGCCACCAUAGAGCACUAAGAAACAUCGUUCCGCUAACCAAUUCCAUCAAAAACCAUCAUUGAACACCCAACCUCCUAUCACUUCCCAUAAAAGUCAACAAGCCCAUUUAAAAUUGACACAUCUUUUCCAAAACCACAUCGCAUAACAAACCUAUGUAACUGUCUCUCGAGCUCCAAAUUCUACAUAUCCAAGCAUGCAUUGAGAAACGCACAGAACGUAAUCGAAUUAGGCUUCCCAUCCGCCCACAGAAACUCAAUAAACUUGUAAUCUGCACUUAGAGGCUGCCCAUCAAGCACAGCAUUCGACAUGUACGCAUUUCAUGUUGCAAGGUUUCUAUUGGGCAUUUCAUCAAACAUCUUCCGAGCCUCAUCUCGUAGACCAGUCUUGUAGUACAUAUCAAAAACACUGCACCCAACAAAUACAUCGCAUAUCUGCCCCGCCUUGACAACAAGCGCGUGGAGAUGUUUUCCGAUGACAUAUAACCGCAGCAACCCCGAGGCCUUAAAAGUGCACAGGAAGGUGAAGUCAUUGGGCUGGAUUGACUCGCGGUGCAUGUUACUGAAGUAAAGAAUAGUGGAAGUGAAAUGAUCGUUUUAGACGGAACUGGCGACGAGGGAGAACCAGGUGACGACGGAGCGAGAGGGGUUGAGUUGGAGGAUGAGUUGGGCCGUGUCGAGGAGGUCGAGUUUGGAGUACAUGUUGACAAGGUGCUUGGAGUACAUGUUGACGAGGUGGUUGGAGAGGAAUGAUGGGUGUGGGUCGUCGAAGGUUAUGAUCAUGCAGGCAUACGUUGUCUGACCGAGCAGAGGUGAGUGAGUCAACACAGCGAAUUCGACCAGGGAGACGAUCGAGUUGGGAGUCAAUGGCAUUGUUGGUAUUUAUGGUCAUGGUUUAGGGGUAGGUAGGGAAAUUAGGAGAGCAUGAAGUGCAUUUGUGAAAUUUUUUCAUUGGGUGUUUUGAACGAAGUAAAUUGUUGCGGCGGCAGUGCGUUCAAUUUAGUUAAGUCAGUGAGUUUGGAUUUGACGGGAGCACGACGGGAGAAGUUACGAACUAGUUACGUCUAAAAGCAUGUUGGUCGAGGCUCUUAGUUGUUGUGUGGCUGUUGUAAAUUUGGGCCUCCAGUUGUGUUUGUAAGUUUUGUGUUGGUAAUAAAAGUGGAACAUUUUGUCCAAAAAAAAAAGCUUGUGGGUCUGCCAUGUCUAGUGGUUUUUUUGUUUUUUAUUUGUAAGUAAGAAGUUUUAUAUUCGAAUCAUAUUAUUGCUAGCUCAUUGUAAAGCUAAGCGCACCCUUCGCCUUUAGUAUUGAUAAUACAAUUUAUUAGGGGGAAAAAAAGCAUGUGAGUCUGGAUUUUCUAAGAACAUCUCCAAUGGGUCCAACUACCACAUGAGGAUUCAUUUAGGGACUUAAAAGAAAUAUAGCUUCCAAGGGCAUCGGCCCUUUCACUUGCCUCUGCAACUUCCACCUAGGUUUGCACCCGUUUGCUAUAGGAAAUGCCACAAUGGGGCCAACCCAUGUACAUAGUCCAAUGCCCUUGCAGACCCUUGGAUUUGCAAAGGUUCUUUCAUCUGGACUAUUGGAUUUUCAAAGUUAAAAAAAAAUUGGAAAUUAAAGGUUGUGCUAUGUGGCACAAUCUGGUGUGCAUCUGAUUUAAGCAAAAUUUAAUAAAUCAAUGGCCUGGAUUAAUUCGAAGGUAAAAAAUCCAAAAAAGUACCCAAAAAAAUUCUAAAAGAGAAAAUGUUUUUGAACAACACAUUUAAAAAAAUUUCAUACUUAACAAACUUACAAAGUUCAACCAUCUUCUUCAUUUACCUUUAUUUUUAAUUAGUUAUAGUCCUUACCCUAGCCUUUCCUCUUCUCAAACAGGUGGACUUGUGCAAAUGAGAGAAUACUAAGGGCAAGUUCCUUGCCCUUGCCCUUGCCUUCCUAAAACGGGUGGAGUUGCUCUUAUAGUAGAACCCUUAAAUUCAAGAUGUUGAUGAUGAGAUCCGACAGGUUGUCUUGUGAACGGAUUUGUGUGACUUUAAUCUUCUAAUGCUCUUGCUGUUGAUGUUAGAAUAAGAACUUCAACUCAAUGUAAUUAGUGUUGUCUCUUUUGAUGUAACCCUUCUUGAGUUGUUCGAUGCAUGUUGCGUUAUCUUCAUAGAUCAUCGUAGGACGUCAACGACAGGGUAAAGAUUGUAGAAGCUUUGAAUAUGGCUCAUAACUACUCUCAGCCAAAAAUGUUCCCAAGUAGCUUCGUGUAAGGCGAGUAUUUCAGCAUGGUUAGAUGAAGUGGCAACUAAGGUCUGUUUAGUUGACCUCCCAGAUAUUGCAGUGCCUCCAAUGGUAAAGACAUAACCCGUUUGAGGGCGUGCCUUAUGUGGGUCAAAUAAGUAACCUGCAUCAGCAUAACCAACAAGGCAGGAAUCGACUCGAGAACUGAGAAGGGUUGUGACAUCACUCGAGGAUCCAUAGGGAUAGAACAAGCCCAGCUCCGUAGUACCCUUAAGGUAACGGAAGAUGUCUUUAACACCGGUUCAAUGUCUGCAUAUCGAUGUAUUACUGUAUCUUGCCAAAAGAUUAACCGAGAAGAAGAUGUCGGCUCUAGUGCAUUAAGUUAAGUACAAUAAAGUGCCUAUUGCACUGAGUUAGGAACUUUAGGUUCCAAAAUCUCUUCUUCAUCCUUAUUCAGACCGAAUGGAUCUCAUUUUGCAUGUAGCGAUUGUACGACCAUAGGAGUACUCGAAGGCUUAACUUUAUCCUUAUUAAAGCGGCUCAACAUUUUUUGGGUAUAGUUCGAUUGAUGUACUAAGAUUUCAUCCGAACAGUGGUCUAUCUUGAGACCGACACAGUAUUGAGUCUUUCCUAGAUAUUUCAUCUCAAAUUCCAACUUCAGGUGCACGGUAGUUUUCUUGAGCUCUUCAGGAGUUCCAAUGAGGUUCAUGUUGUUAACAUAAACUGCAACAAUUGCAAAACUAGAAUUUGACUUCUUAAUAAACAUGUAAGGGCAUAUUUUGUUGUUCACAUAUUCAUGACUAGUCAAAUACUUACUCAAAUGAUUAUACCACAUUCUUAUGGAUUGCUUCAAACUGUAUAGUAAACACCUCAGCCAAAUUAAGAGCGUGUUACGCCAGUCAAAGUAGGUCAUUCAAGAACUUUAUAUAAAUUUUUGUAUGAAGAUCCAUAUAGAGAUAUGCAGUUACUACGUGACGCAAGUUGCAUACUCAGUUUUUCGAAAACUACUAAACUGAUAAGGCAACGAAAAGUAAUCACAUCCAUAACAGGUGAAAAGUUUCGUCAUAGUCAAUGUCAGGGUUGUGAAAAGCCUUGCACAACAAAACAAGCUUUGUAAUGCACAAUUUCAUUCCUCUCGGUACGCUUCUAAACGAAAACCUACUUUUAGUCAACGAGCUUCACAUGUGGAGGAGUAGGAGCUACAUGUCCAAACACCUUACAUUUUGCAAAUGAAACGAGUUUGACUUGGAUUGCUUGUUUCCAAUUUGACCAAUCAGUUCUACGUCAACAUUCAUCAACAGAAUAGGGUUGAAUGCCAUCGCACAACAUGGUCUCAAUAGCUACUGCAUAUGUUAAUGUAUCGUUGAUUAUCAUCUCAUUUCUACACCAAACAUCAUCCAAGCUAGCAUAAUGAACCAAAAUCUCUCAAUUCUCGAGAGGUGGAUUCGUCUUUUUAAGGAAGCUUCCAUAAUCUAGAAUUUCCUCAUGAGUUGGAUAGAAUGAGUAGGCGAUAUUUGGAUUCAUAGUAGGCUCAGUGGCCUGUGUCGUGGGUUUCCUCUUUCGGGGGUAGAAUCAUUUGAACCAAGAGGUCUGCCGCGUUUUUGUCUAGGGGCAGAGGAUUGGCUAGCCGUUAAUGUACGUGGACCAAUCCAAGUGAAGUCGCAGGCCUCUAGGAGGAAAGUCCGUUGUACAUUAGGUACAUCCAUCUUUGGAAGCACAUUUGCAGCUGGAAUAUGUGAUCUUGUCACUCGCACUUGAUCUAUGAAAGCAUCUGGCAUACUCUAAGCUACAAUAUGAAGAACUAUUAUGCGUUGCACUUCAAUUUCAAACUAAGCCGUGCGGUGAUCUAAAUGAGACAAAGUGGGAGUCAUCCAUGAUAAUUCGCGUCGUUCUUCAAGAAUGGAAACGUUCUUAUCUCCCCUUAAUGACGGGAAGACUAUCUCAUAGAAGUGACAAUCCCCGAAAUGAACGGUAAAAAUAUUGACUGCCAAAGGUUCUAAGUAACAAAUAAUUUGAAGGAGAAUCAUAUCAGACAUAGAUUCCCACCAUUCACUAAGGCCGCAUUUUUGUACGUAAAGGCGGCGAAAUCAUUACAUAGACCGCACAACAAAAAAUGUACAGAUGUCGUGUUCGUAUCUGGUAACCAACUGAACGGCGCUAUAUGGUUAGGUCGCAACAGGCAUCAGGCGGACCAAUAUGACUGCGUGCAAUAUUGCAUGGGCCCAAGCAACGAUCGAGAGCUUAGUAUAUAUGACCAAUGAUCGAGCAAUCAUUUGUAAGCACUUAAUGAAUGCAUUUGCUAGGCCGUUCUGGGUGUGAACAUGCGAUACAUGAUGUUCAACUUCAACCCCAACCAACAUGCAAUAGUCAUCAAAAGUUUUAGAUAUGAUUUCUCUAACAUUAUCCAAUCGAAUAGAUUUGAUUGGAUAAUCAAGGUGGUGAACCUUGAGCUUGUUAACAUGAGCCACCAGUAUGGAAAAGAUAGCAUUUUGUGGACAACAAGCACACAUGUGACCAACAUGUGGAAGCAUCAAUCAAUACCAUAAAGUAUCUAAAUGGUCUACAAGGAGGUUGAAUUAGUCCACAAAUGUCCCCUUGAAUCCUUUGUAGAAAAGGAAAAGGAUUUGAGCGAAUCUUGUCAUAAGAAGGCUUAAUAACAAGUUUUCCCAUGGAGCAGGUUUGACAUGUGAUUCCUUGAAUUGAACCUAAAGUUUGGGUUAGUGGAUACCCAUGUGAAGAUUUAAGGGUACGACGCAUCGUUGUUCGUCCAUGGUGUCCCAAACGAUCAUGCCAAAGUGUAAUUUCUUGUGCAAUCACUGAGGUAGGGUCGGCCACAUAGUGGCUCUCUAUAGGGUGUGUGGUUGUAGUAUACAGACCACUUGGGAUACGCUUCAUCUUUUCUAAAAUAUGCUUCUAGCCAUAUUCAUAGGAAGGGAUGCAUAAAAAUUCAACUGGGUUUUCUACAUAGCUUUCAGCAUGGUAGUUAUUGUCUAAUUAUUGUCUCAAAUAUCUUUAACACUCAACAAUGUUCUUCCGGAAUGUGGAGAAUAAAGUGCCUCUUGAAUGGUCAAAAUAGUGUCAUUGGACAACAUUAUAUGAGCCUUUUCGUAUACUUCGAUCAGGUUGAUGGACUUGGGAAGGUUGUCAGGGGUACAUUCUUAGGUAUGAAGUUAGUGACAUAAAUGCGUUGACGCAAACCGGUAUGCGUGGUUGCAUUAUCUGGUGGACAACUAACUUUCUCACUAGUCAUACCUAGAAUAAAAUUAAUUAAACUAGUCACAUGCAUAAAAGUUCAAAAACUUAAAUCCAUUCAAUUAAUUUUUUUUUUUUUAGAAAAGUUUAUGAACUUCAAGUUCAUAGUGCCUGCAAACAAACGCAUAUAUAUACAAGUAGGCAAUUAAACUCAAGGACCAAAAAUAUGAACCAAAGCCCAAAGGCCACAUGUAGGCUGAUUAGUUAUGGUUGUGUGGCCCAAGCCCAAAAACUGGGUUGGUAUAGGUACGGGAAGCAGACCCAAGAACAGAGGCCCAAAAUGAGCUCUGAUCUGGUGCAGCGAGGAGCAGGCUAGGGCUGCAGGGCCUAUACAGAGGUGUGAUUUGGUGCUUCAGGUGUACGUUUACCCGAGGGACGCAAUCUUGUGCAUAACGAUACAUGAGAACACCACAACCAUGCGAGGAUGUGAUAAGGUGCAUCGCAGUGCAAAUGCACCGAGUCACUAACUGCGGGCUGGGAUCUGGAAUGGUGCCAUGUAGUAGGACACCAUAGCCCAACGGGUUAAUGUCAUAUAGGCCAAGCCAAUACAAUGGGCCAUUGCAGGCAAGCCCAAUAAAAGAAAAAAAAAACUUUUUUUUUUCGUUUUACAUUGUUGGGCCAAGGUCAUGGGUUGGCCCAAGGGCCUUGGGUGUCCAUAGAACAUCCUAACCGCUAUUGGGUUUAUUCACCGAAGAAUAUGAUUGGUGCCAUUGCUUCAGGCGAUCAUGUUUUGGGACAAAAACCUUGGGGGCGAGUUUGUGAAUCAAUGGGGACCAUGAAUAUAAACAGAGAUAAGGAAAUCUCCACAUUUCAACCAAAACCAUAGAGUAUUUAAAUCGGAAUUUCAAAAAAUCCAAUGAGAUUCGAAAGAAUCUUGGUCAAAAAUUUGUCGAGGGAUGAUGACCCAUGGGCAAGGUUUAACUGCAUGCCAACCUGCAACGGUGGAGACACCAUGGAAGGCGUUAGGGUUCUGGGUUUUAAACUUGGCGCCCUUGGCUCUGGCUUGUGGUUUCGCGGCAUGGCGCAGCCACGUAGGCUGCAGUCCUAGUGUUAGUGGCUCGACGCGGUGCGGUUGGAAAGCAACGGCUCGCAGUAUGGUAGCGACAUGAUGGGUUUCUUGGAAUAAUUUUUAUUUUUUUUUUCAAUUUCCAGAUUAUAGAUUAAUAUAAUUUCAUGAAUAUUCAACAUAUAAUUCAAUGCUUGUACAUGUAUUUGAUACAAUGCAUGGCAAUAUCAAUUCACAUAAUUCAAUAAUUAUGGAUAUAAUGCAUACACAAUUUAUGUAGAAUCUAAAAUUCGAAAAAUGUAAAGUUGGGUCAUGCAUUAUGGUGAAUGUUUACACUAUCAGAGCUGCAAAAAUAUCGACAUAAAAACCAUUAUUUUUGAAGAACCUGAUUGCGUGAUGAUAUUGAUGAAUUCGUUUGAUGCAGAAAACUUCCACGUCAGAUUCCUAAACACAGUUGUAGGAUGAUGUGUUAUUCCCUCUAUGCAGUGUCUUUAUUUAUAGUAAUAAGGGAAGGAAGAAUCCUUCUUCUCUAAGGAAUACAAGUCCUGAUAGGGAAGAAUAACUAGUAUCAAAUCUAAUUUAGGGUUUAUACAGUCACACUUUAAUACAAUGUUUAUAACAAUUUAGCCUUUUCUAGAUGGAAUUCCAAACAAACCCUUAAAGUUAUAAUUUUUUUUUUUUUUUAUCAAAGGUAACAUACAUUACCAACAACAAACUUUACAACACAGAGGACCAAAUUUUACAACAAAAAGGACCAAACACAAAAUACACAAACAAACAACAGUGGUCCGACCAAAAGUUAAGACCGAAACAAAUGAAAACUCAAAACAGCCGGUUCCGCUGCAUCCUCCGCCAUAACCACCAUUGCAAUCACCAAAACAGCAGCCAUGCAUGUCUAUCCACACAAAUUCUUGCCCCUAAUUAAGCCUCGCCUCAUCGAUACCAGCAUCCAAUCCCAAGCUUUACUCCUAGUACAGCUACAUACAACUUCAUUGGCCACUUCAUCAACCUAAUUGUUUACAUCAUUGUGAAUCUAAUUUUUGUUGUUUUCUUAUGUAGUACAUAAUUGAUCCCUUUUUUGCUAAAAUAUAUGCUAGUUUGAUGACACGUCAACUACUAUAUGCCAUAUGGACGAAAAAUAAGAAUUUUACUUGAGAACACCUUAACCUUUGGGGUGUCGUUACAAUGUCCUAUGUUAGCUGAUGCCUCGGAAUUAUAACAAUGUGAUUUAUCAUUUAUUUAGCAGUUAGAUAAAUUUACAUAUAAAACUUUACAUUAUAUAUAUAGCGAGGGCAUACUUUAUAAUCACAACUCCUUUGCCCGGGGGUCGGAGUGGAGGCUCACCAAGCCAUCGAGUCUCUAGUCUGUUUGCGCAAUAGAGUCACUGAGGAGACAAAGAAGUUGGUUUUUUAUUUUUUAAAUGAGUGUAUAGAUAAGGUUUGUGAAGAUAGUUUAGGUAGUAAAUUUAGAUUUAAAGAGAUAUUGAUAGUUUAAUUAAAAAUAUAUAGGUGAAAGUUGGGUGUGGAAAGAAGCUUUUAUGGGUACAAAUAAAAUUUUUCUUAUUUGUAUGCACUAUUUUAUGCUUUACAUGGCAUACACUAAUAUGGUGACUUAAUUCAUAUAAUAUAACUGGAGUUUAAUUAGAGUCCCAAUAGUGAUAACUGCUCACGUGUUAUAAUUUGUGUAAAUAAUGUGAGUAUCAUUUUAAAUUGUUAAAUUGUAUAAGUGACAACAAGUAAGAAAUCUGACAAACAAGAAGGUUUUCAAAAAAUGAAUAGAGUUAGACAAUCUUGUCAUUUUCUCUUUAUAAAUUGUUGAAUAAUAUUGAGAUACUUAUUAAUGAAUACUUUAUAUACUUAUUUUUUAAAUUUGGCCCGAUGAUAUACUAACACAUAAUGUUUUAUUGUUGUAAAAUGAUAUUGCAUAUGUUAUUUAAUUUUUCUUCAACUUUGAAAAUAAGAAACACAUGUCAUCUUUUAAUUUUUCAACACUAAAUUGUUGUCAUAUCUGUUAAACUUUCACAAAGGAGAUCAUACAGAGUUUCAGUUUGGCCUAAAUGAAAAGAAAAGCUAAUUAGUUAGCAUAAUACAACGCACCUAUCAUCAGAUUUGGACAUGAAUAAUCAAUCAAUUAAUUAACCAGGCUGGUUAAGGCCAACUCAUGCACACAAACAAAUUUCCUUAUUUAAAUAAAAAUCGACUUAAUAAGCUCUGUAUUAUUACAAAGCAUCACACAUGAAAAAUCCGUGUGAGUAAUAUGCUCACAAAGGCCUCAGACAAAAAAAAUGCCAAACUAUGUCUAAGUUGUUCCGUUUCCGACAUCUCACACACUUUUUCCGAGUCUCUCUCUUCACUCCAUGCAUUUCGCUCUCUCUCUCUCUCUCAUUCUAAAAACUCAAUUACAAGCCUCUUCCUUUUUUUCUCUCUUUGCACUCCUCGAUCAUCGUCCAGAUAAAGAGAGAAAGUUUUGUUAGGUUAUUUUGAUCGAGCAGGGUGGAGACGGCCUAGUACUUAAUGCCAUGGGAUCCAUCAACGGUGGACGUGUGAUAACAACUUCAUCAUCAUCUAUCGUAGAAAGGUCCCAUGACCAUGAUCGUUUGCGAGAAGGCGUGUCGAUGGUUUUGUCACAAUGGAAUGGCCUAGAAAUGGCCGUCCAGAACCAAUGGGGUGGCUGGGACUCCACCCACAAAGCUCAACAACUCUCUGCCGAUAUUCUCUCUUGGUUCUCUCAAUCUAAAGGUUCUUUCUUUUUAUUCAUUUUAUCCGAUGCAUCACUUACGUAUAACUUAAAUCUUUAUGGUUAUUAUCGCUGUAGAGUUAGAUUGUCUGAGAAGAGAAUAUUUCCACAAUAUACGUGUUAAUGUGCAGCGCCACGGUACGUGGAAGAUUUAGAAAAUUUGCUCCACGAACGUAUGCUUCUCUCUUUCAACACAGAUAUUGAGGAUGGAAGCAUCGAGGAGGUAUAUAUGAAUCAUUUAUAUGUACUACAAUACUACUAUCUCAUAUGAUUUGUAAAUAAUUACACUACUUAAUUAGAAUAGAUAGGCUUUGAUUAAUGUUGAGAUAGCAUUACAUAAGUAAUAGAUAUUCCUGUAUAUGAUCAUGAUCAUCCGUAGGGAUGUGAUUUCCUUUUAAUAUUUCCAUUUAUAUCUAACUAGACUCAAAUCUUAUCGGAUAAUAUUAGGUACUCACUAAUAAGUACCUUAUAUACUCACUUUUAUUGUGACUCGAUCAAAAGAUGUCACGAGUUUCUUGUUUUUUAAAGUCCAAGAAAAUUGGGUGCAUUUUUGCUCACCACCCUUAUUUUAUUUAUCAUUGUUGUAUGAAUAUAAAUUUUGAGAUUUAUGUUUAUCUAGUACACAUAUUUUAAAAUUUAAACUUAUCUAACAUAAUAAAUAGGGUGGUGAGUCACCAUCACUUGAGAGUGGUGAGCAGAAAUAUUCAUAAGAAAAAUUAAAUACCAUGUCUAUUAUUUUUAAAACAGUAAAACAUAAGUUAAACUUUCGUUGGGCUAAAAUCAAAAGUAAGAUAUAUAGAGCAUUCACUAAUAAAUACUUAAGUAUUAUUAUUAUUUUAAUUAUCAUUUUUUGGAAUUAAUUUGGUCUAGCAGGUGGCAGAACAAUUGAUGAUUGUACAUGACGAAUACUUGCAUGGAAACCAUUAGGCCAUCUCCAAUGGAAAUGUCAAAUUAUAACAAUCAAUUACAAUUGAUAGCUGAUGUGGCAAUCUGAAGUCUUAUAUCAAAUUUUUUGUUUCUCCAAUUAAAUUGUGAAAUAUUAUUUUCUUAUAAAUGUAGAGCUUUAAAUUAUAUGAAAACUAAUGAAAAUAGCUUGAAAACUUUGAGUUUUAACGAAAAUGAAAAAAUAAAGGGUAAAGUGAAUAGUACCAUAAUUGACUUUUUAGUGUAAAAAUGUGAUUUUUCGUUAAAGUGAACAGGACCAAAAGAUUUUUGUUAAAGUUCUCUUAAAUUAUUGUAUUUAUUUAAAAAAAAAUUAUUGAAACAAAUUUUUAUAUGCUUAAAUACUAGUGGAAUAAGCAACCCACCAUUAAAAUUAAUAUAAAAAAAAUUUGGCGUUAGAGUUAAAUUUGACUCCUAAUCACAAAAGCAUUAAAAUUCAGUUAACAAACUGCACACAAAUAAUUAAUUAUUAGCCAUAAUUAGCCUGCAAAUAAUCUAUCCUCGUUAUCAUAUGCUAGCAGCCUAGCACCACCCAAGAUAUAAAAUAUCGAUGAUAUCGGAAAUAUCAGUAGUCCAAAAACACGGAAAUUUCGAUGGAAAUAUCGGCAUAUUAUCGAUAUCGAUAAAAAUUGAAUAAAAACCACGGAAAUUGUAAGAAAAACUUGGAAAUUUUUAUUGAAACUUUGCAGGAUGUUUAUUUAGUCAAUUAUCUAUUAGUUUAUCACAAAAAAUUGGAAGGAAAUGCAUUGCAUGAUAGAUAUAACUGAUUUAAGUUGAUUAUAUAGCGAGCUGGUAAACAUUGUGAGUGUAGAAAAUAUGCAGUAAUUAAUGAAAGAAGUUAAACACACCAUAAUCAUUUAUAUAUAAUGAAUUAGUACAAUAUUUUACACUUUAUACAUUGCAUGGUAAGAUACAUGAGUGACUUAGCAAGGUCUAAAAUAUCAAUGAUAUCGGAAAUAUCGGUAGUCCAAAAACACGGAAAUUUCGAUGAAAAUAUCGGGAUAUUAUAGAUAUUUUAGACCAUGGCACCACCUCAUGAGAUCUCAUGGUUAAUUUAAUCCUCACAGGAAUUUGUAUUAAAAAAGAUCUCACAAGGAAGAAGGAUCAAUUUUUCAAGAAAAAAUUGCACAAAUGGCAUCCCAUAACUUUCCUCUUUACAGUUAACUACCCAAGCUUCAUUUUCAUUUCCCUUAUUUGGAAUGCCUUGGGUUACCAAAUUCUUUAACCUCAUCUCUCUUUCCAAUUUACUUGUUUUUUUAUUUUUUUUGGUGAACAUUUGUGAGGGGGAUGCAACACGAGAACUUUCUAGAAUGUCACACAUUCUAGUACUACUCUCGUCCAAAAUCGUUUAACUUCGGAGUUCUGAUAAGAUCCAAUGUAUGUGAGUUGAUAUGAUCGCAUUCCCAAUUUACUUGUUUAUUCCCAGCUACUCAACGACAAGAUGCACUAGAUUUGGCCCAAAGUUUUGAAUAACUAGGUGUGCAAAUACCAUCCAAACUAAAAUUGUUUUUAUUAGACGGCCCCAGUUUUUUCGUUAAAAUUUAGUCAAAACAUACCAUAUGCAACAUUGAACCUUUUUCCUUGGGUAUUUUUGCUACUUAAAUGACCCCUAGAUGAUGACUUGGGUAUACAUUCAGUUGAUUAAUACUCGUAGGACAUAUCUUCGACUUUUAAAAAAUUUUGAUUUACAUUAAUCUUUAAUGUAUAAACCAACCAAAAGAAUGAAAAAGGUAAUUUCCCAAAUACCGUUUUCCGGCGUUUUCAAACACGGGAUCCAAUCACCAUCUCCUGCGAAUGAGGACGAUUGUUUAAUUCUGCGAACCAGAAAGGACGAUAGUAUUCGCCGUGAGGAGGGCAUUCAACUUCUGUGAGGUUAUGAAGUUCCAUGUAAACACUGUGCUAGUAUAUUGAUAAAUUAACAGCUGCAUUUAUUUACUUGAGGACAUAGUAAAAGGGUGAUUCUGCAUCCACAUAUUACUUCAAAUCCUUACUUUUUUCAUCAUUUUUAUUUUACUGACCGGGGGUACAAAGUUUACGGAUAACAUAUAGUGGAACCAAUGGGCAAACAUAUCACACAAUGCCGUAGCCAUGCAACUCUUAGAAGAAGGUGACAAACAACAACCCAGUUUUCAAUCUCCGACCGAGACAUCACCGUUGUCCCACAAUCAGGGAAUACCUCAGCCAGGAAAUCCGACAUUAUGCCAAAUCCAUACUAGCUGAGGCUCAGCCGAUGAUCAUCAGGAAAAUGAGAGACCUCGUCACAAAAGAAACAUCAGAGAAGAACUAAGAAAAGCAGAGAGAUGUUCAUUUUAUAACCAUCGAGUAAUUGCCUGGCUCUUGGUAAUGGAAUAAAGGCAGUACCUUCCAUCAAAAUUUCCAAAAUUAGUUUUCACAAGCAGUUGAAAUUGAAUAAAAGAAUCUCCAGAACUAAGGUCGACUAGCUAAACCCCGCUUAAGAGAACUACAGAACAAUUCCGGCUAAACAACGGACAUGGUUGAAUUUUUAAGUUGAAAGAGUGAGUAUAGACAACAUGGGACAUGAAUUAUGUUUCGAUCUCUAGCUAAACGAAUAAUCUCUUCACAGGAAACACAAAAGGAGAUUUGAUUUUAAGUUUGCAACACUGUCUAGUUCGGUUACACAGCAUUCAUAUAAUACUAGGGGAAAGCAAAUAGCCAAGUAAGAACAACUAAAGGAGAAGAAAAAAAGGACGAGCACAAUGAACUACAAAAGCACACAUAUCUCAUGACCAUAAUUUAGAAUCAAAAAUUCAAUCGUACAACCAACAUGAACAGCAGAAAAAAGGGAAGUGAGUUCCGUACUCCCCUUUUCGCACCUGCGCUCCUCUUGCAUUAAAUCAAACGAGAAUCAAGGAACAGAAACAAGGAGAGCAGUGUCAAACGGAGAAAGCGGGAGUGUGAAAAUCACAACGGCGUAAAACCACAUGCCAAAAAAAUACCAAUAAGAACACCAUUGCAUCAUCGUCGCCAAAACCAACAUUUCUUUCAUUCAACAAGCAGCAUAUAACAACUAGUUCCACCAACAACAGCCUCAAAAGGGUUGCAAGCUAAAUCCAAUUUAAUUGGAACAACUAAAAUUAUAGCCCAAGGAAGUAAAAAGGUUACAAAAAAAAAAAACAGAGAUAUUUACUGUACAAGCACAAGGCGGUUACCCAUACCUCCUCGGAAACCCCCGCCCCCAUUCCCGUCUCCACCGCCGCCAUCACCACCGUCCGAAUUCCCCAACCCCUCGGCCUUCGGCACCGUCACGAUAAGCUCCCCGCCAACAAAAACCGCGCUGGCCAGCUCGGGCCGAGUCGAUUCCGGCAGCCUAAACCUCCACAUAUCGAGUUCCAGCUCGUCCAACGUUAAUUCCACCGACCCACUUUCCCGAACGACGAUUUUGGUCACCCCGGGAUGGAUUUCGACGGUAUGGGCCCUGACGUCGUCGCUGAUAUUAUCGGCUUCGGCGACAAAUCGGAAGCAAUCGGGGUUCUCCUGGACCAGAACGUCGGCGUCGGAUCGAAAGGGGAGCUCCAGGACCCGGCUGAAGACAUGGGGGAGACGGCGGAGCUUCUUGUGGUUCGGCCCCAAAAGUGCCUGCGCUUCAGAAAGUGAGUUUCUUGAGCUGUAUUGGACGGUGAUGUUGCGCUUCCUAGGCAUGGGGUGGACCUUCAUGGUUUGGGCUGUUUCAGUGGCAGCUACGGCGGCGGCGGAGGCAGUGGUGGUGGUUGUGCAGAAGAAAUAGAGGGAUUGGCACAAGAUUAAUAGAAAGAUGAAAGAUGCCCUUCUUCUGGAAAAGGCAGUCCAACCUUGGGUGGGAAUCAGAAUCCUGAUUGGGUGGUUGUUUUUACCAAAAGGACGAAUCAUAAAGGAUUGGUGGGAAAUUUGAUUUGGGAAUUUCUUGGGUUUUGCUUGGUGAGAAAUACCCUAACCCUAGAAAUUGGAUAGAAUUGAAAUUGAAUUGGAUUGGAUUGAAUUGGAUUUUCCCAAUUUCUCUCUGAUAAUGAGAAAAUGGGGGUUGAAAUUGCAAAAGGGUGUUAUGGAAAUCUCCCUUUCUGGGGAAGCAAAGUGGCUUCAGAGCCCAUUGGAGGGGGUGCGAAUCACAGCAAAAUAUAUAAAAGCCAUGAUGGUUUCGGUUUCAUCCUUGGAGUUUUACUAUAAUCCCAAUUUUGGUCCUUUUUUUUUCAAUUAUUUUGGACCAUUCAAACUAUUUAUAGCUUUUUUGGUGUGAUAUGACCAAAGUAAAAAAAAAAAGAAAAAAAAACUAUUCUUUCUGUAAUUAUAUAAUAAUACAGAUGCAUAGGGUGUAAUUUCUUAGUAAUUGCAAGUCACCCUCUAAGCUCUUGACUCAUGACCCAAUUUGUGAAAUCCUUUUGUUUGCAUGUUUUCGUUUUAUUAUGUCACAACUUCGUAAACAUGUUUGUUUGUUUGUUUGUUUUUUUCAUAACUAACUUUGUGAACAUGUUUUGGGAUUUCUUAUGAUUUAUUUUUAGUGAAGAACGAGUGAUUUAUGUGUACCAACAUAUCUUUGUGAGAAGAACAACAACUGGAAAUGACUGAUUGCUGUUAUUUUCUAGAUUGAGGAGCAAAAGGAGGAAUCUGUUCAAGGAGGGAAAGUAACAAACAUGCAACCAUUAUAAUGUGAUUAUGACAUUCCGUGUUAAUGCUCUAACUAUCAGUCAUUUAUCUCCUUCCUUUUAAGUAAAAGAAUCAAGAAUGUUAACCACAUGAGUUAUAUAUUCUUUGCUACUACUUUUUUAUUUAUUAAUAUAACGAUGGUGACAUAAUUUAAAAAUAAAAAUAAAAAAUCAUGAUAUUCAAUAUAAUAAUCUCCCAUCAUAAUAUUCAACCUAAUAUUUAACACAAUUUCCACCAUAAUUUAACAAUGUCAUGACACAAUUUUUAAAAAAAGCACAAAGCUAGUAAAAACACAGAUGAUUUCCUAGUUAAAAGCUUUGAAAUGACUUGUGUCAUUUGACUAUGAUUAGGUACCGCUGACAAUUAGUCUUAUCCUUCAAGACACGGAAUACCUCACUCACGUUUCAAGUUUCGACAAAAAGAAAAAACAACAAUCUCCCAUCUUUAUCUUUUUUUGUUCAAGCUCGUAGAUAAGAUCUCUAAUUCCUCACUCCAAAUCCUAAACCUAGGAUCUAUUAUAAUUUAUAACAACAACAAUACAAUAUAUAAUUGAGAAAACAAAAUUGACAAAAAACAAGUGAUUCCAUAUAUCAUGCAAUCUUCUUAUUUAUAAGACAAGGAAGAAAGGGACAUUCCCUCUCCAAUAUUCGUUGGCAACUUCUUAGAAGUUACCUUCCCUCCUCCACCCUUGUCUAAUAUGGCUUUAUACAAAUUUAAAAUCGAACAACUUUGCAUGAGCUCUUUUAUCAAAGAAAAUAGAAAAUACAAGACAUUUUAGAUAUGUGCAUAUUCUAUGUAAUUAUAUAAGGGUGAAUAUUUGUUCAUCGACUUAAAGCGGUUUUGAGCAUCGCCACUGCAAUAAUUGUCGUUAGAUAAAUAUGGUUUAAUUAAUCUACUAAACAAUUCUCGAAAUUUAAACUCAAUUAAAAGAUGAGGUGGUGAGCAAAACCAUUCGCAUUGUAUAAAGACAGAAUGAAGGUUCCUCGACCCUUCGCAGAAGAGGUGGCCGACUAAAACAAAACAAUCUUAAUUUAUCGUCCCUAUAAAGUUUUGGACCAUAUGCAGACGGAGACAUGGUGCUCGGUGACAAACAAAACCACCAUUGGCUAUUGAAACUCUAAACCAGCACGCAUAGAUUUGUUUUUAUCUUUGAAAUUACUCCAGAGAUUGGAGAGUAUUUUUGGGGACAUUUGUUGACUAUAAAAUUCAAGAUCUUCUUACCAGCAAUCCACUUAAAGAUGGUGGAUGCACAAAACAUUUCUCCUUGACUAUGCGUUGUGUGAUCUUGUGGCGCUUCUUUCGCUUGUGAAUAAAACGUCUUUCCAACCAAAUGAUAAAACUAACCACGUAUUUUAAUAUCGCUUGUACUAAAAGAAAAAAAACUCGCCGCUUAUUAUUGUUGUUCAAGUGCAUAAGGAGCCCAAAUGGAACUUAACUAAUGAUUCAUCGAUAAUUAAACAGCGGUGAAAAGUAGAUCACAGUAAACUUGCCUGAUACUGUUGUAAAUUCAGACAGAUACGCUCUCUUCCUGGAGAAGUUUGACAAACACAAAACAACUGUAAGAGCAAUUAAGCUCUCACCUUUCACCCUUCAUCUUCUCCGAUGCUCAACCACGUUAAACUUACUGUUACAUGUGUUGCAUUUUUGGUACUUCUUCCUCAUGGUGCAUACGACGCCUACGGUGAGAUCUUCUAUGUUUAUGAGUAUGUACUUUUGGGGGACUGUCAGUGCUAGAGGUACUCGGAAGAAGAAUCUCCUCACUUGUUGCAUUACCAAACACGCAAUCAAAAGGGUCGACCAUUGAAUCAACAUUAGUGUUCAUCUACAAAAAGAGAUGGCGUCAGAAUGGAAGAGUUGCCAUGAAAGUAUAGAGUAACGUCCUCAUCAUUAUUACGGUAUCUACAUAGACAACGCGUAAGAGCGAGAAUCCUGUCAGGAGGUGCAGAGUACAAAUGAUCCCCUACAAUAGUACUAUUCACUGUUGAUUUCAUCAUGUAACUUUUCUCAAGACAAGCCUCCAAAAAAGAUCUAAAUCUAUAUCACCUAAGAAGUUAGGUUUGAUACCGGUAUAGGCACAGGGCAUGAUACUUUCUUUGGCAUGCAAAUUUGAUCUGGGUAGGAUAGGUUUUCUGUACCAUUACCAUGUAACGGUUCACAUGCAUUUGGUAGGUAUAAUGUUCAACUAUAUGAACAGUAAAGUUUAUAAUUUACAAACUAUUUUACGUAGACAUUUCUCAACAGUGACAGGUUUCUGCUAUAUCUAAAUUCCAAAAUCUUCUUCUGCACUACUAUGGCUACUUAUAAAACUGGGGUGGUGCUAUCCACACACCCAUUUUUACCUCUCACACACCCCUCUCAAUUUCUUGCCGUCGGAUCAAAAGCAUGGAAGAAGAUCAAUGGACAAAAAUUAACAAGGGUGUAUAGGAGGUAAAAAUGAGUGUGUGAAUAGCACUACCCUAAAACUUAACUCAUCAGUAAUUUAAUGCAACCAUUUCUAAGAAAAGAAAUUACUAGAUAAGCAUUCUUACAGGAACUUGUUUAGGAGCAAAACGUUUUAUGUCAGAGUCAUUCUGGGUGUUCCGGGAAUCACUGUCAGAAGCACUCUGAUGGUCACCAUGGGAAGCCUGUUCUGAACCACCUUGAGAAUCGCUGUAAUCUGUUCUUCGACCAUGGGUAAUGUUAUCACUAAAAUAAUUCCGAUAACGCCACCUCAGUGUUGGCUGAUCUGAGUUCGCAUCAUCAAAAACUUUCUCAGAGUAGAACUGUUUAGAGAUAAGCCGCAUCAUAGAAGGAUCAUUCUGAUACUUUUUCACCAUUCUGUUAUUUGAAUCACAGUUCAUAGUUCAAUAAUUCAAGAAUUCCAAUUAAAGUUAGUUGAAAAGCAGAUAUUGGUCAUAUAUUAAAGUGCAUUUAUUUUUCCUGGAUAAAUAGAUGUACAGUACGUGUCCCAUAUAUAUUCAGAUAAUUACAUACAAAAUCCAACCAUCCAAGUAAACAAGGGCAUGCCAGAGAUGUGAAGAAAGGGCAGACACUAGUCAUAUACAGAAGUGAAGUUUUCAUGAAUGGAUAAAUGUACUCUGACAUCUGACUUCAAUUCGAUAAGUGUAAGAAAGAUAAUGAACUUUUUUUUUGUCGGACGAAAGACAAUGAACCUAAAAUUUUCAAAUUAAUAACUCCUAAUUACAACUCAUGAAGAAUAGAUCCACACCAAGAUGGCUAAAGAUCUUUGGAUAUCUGACAUCAGCAACCAUGGGCAGCUAACUUGUUCUAUUCAUGCAUACCAGAAGAAAAUCAGUGUUUCUAGAAAAUUGCAGAGUGAAUUCAUCAAAAAUCGUAAAAAGAAGUAAGGUGACAUACAUAGUUGCUAACUCGGCCUGCAAACGACUUCCAUCCUGAGAAAGAAUAUGGUCAACACAUGAGUUUAAAGACCUCGAGAAGCUCCAUAGUCCAAAUAUAGCAGCAGCUCCUGCAGAAGCAUAAAACUUGUUCAUAGGAGAAUUUGAUAGGUAGCUAUGAUUCGUAUAUAUAUAUAUAUAUAUAUAUAGAGAGAGAGAGAGAGAGAGAGAGAGAGAGAGAGAGAGAGAGAGAGAGAGAGAGAGAGAGAGAGAGAGUUUAACUCACCUCCUGAAAGGUUAAGUCGAACAAACUUAUUUAGCUUCUUUGAUGCUGGAUAAAAACAUUGAGAUUGUUAAAAGAAUGAAACAUAUAUAAUAACCAUCCAAACUUACAAUAAACAAAACUUGAAUCGUUAUUGGACCCCAAAAGAAGAACCUCUAAAUGUAAAUGAAAUGGAACAAAAAAAUUAAGAUAACUGUUUAUUAAAGAAUCCUACAACUUUUCACCAGCUUACUCACUCGAAUGAUUAUAAAUGAGUAUAAAAGUGAUUUGCAUACGGUAAAUAUUCAUAAAAGCUCCAGGAAACGUGUAAGAUUACAAUUCUGUGAAUCAUAUAAUAUCAAUUGCACAGCUGAUAUCCUUUCCCUUGCACUGUUUCAAAAAGUGCAUAAUUAAGAAAAGAAGAAAAAAGAACAGGACAGAAAAAUGUAUUAACUUUAAUGCUAUGGAUUGUUAUUUUCCAAGCAGCGAAAGCCAACAUAUUUGUACAGUGUACGCAGUACAUAUCCUUUUUCAUUUGAACAUACGUGCGGCAAUCUGUAAACGCCUCAUGAUAACCACCUUAAAACCAUGGAACAAUGAAAACUCGAAAUACCAGAGAACCAAUGUUUCUCUAUCCAAAACCAAUCCACAUUGUUGUAACUGAAAAUGACCCAAUGCAAACUCUCAAUCCAAAUAAUGCGGCAAUCUGUAAACGCGCCUCAUGAUAACCACCUUAAAACCAUGGAACAAUGAAAACUCGAAAUACCAGAGAACCAAUGUUUCUCUAUCCAAAACCAAUCCACAUUGUUGUAACUGAAAAUGACCCAAUGCAAACUCUCAAUCCAAAUAAUGAGAAACCCACGUUUCUCUAUCCGAAACCAAUACAAACUCUCGUCACAUAAAAUCACCAAAUCAAAAGUGGGGUUUGCAGCUUUUACUGAAUGUGAAUCCGAAAUGUGUGUUGAAUUGGUUAAUAUCAAAAAAGCCUUGACUGUACCAUUAUCACUAUCAUACAAUUGAAAAUUAAAAAGUGGGGGUUUGCAGCUUUUGCCGAAUGUGAAUCCAAAAUGUGUGUGGAAUUGGAUAAAGUAUCGAAAAAGUCUUGACUGUAACAUUAUCAAUAUCAUACAAUUGAAAAUUCCGACCUCCCAAUGAAUUGAAAUAUACAGAAACACAUAGUUGGAAGAUAAAAAUUCACAAAAAAAAAUUAAAAAAUUAAAAGAAAAAGACAAGAAAAUUGACAAAUUAGAUAGAGACAGACCUGUCCAGGCAACAGUAGCAGCAGCAAGACCUCCGAACGUAAACUCCCUGACAGCUUUGGACUUGCACGUAAAAAGAAGCUUAAUUUCUUCAGGCGUCAAUUUGACCUGCAACACACAUUUGGUGCAGCUAGUUAGCAAUUGAUGUAAUUUUGGGUACCAUUUCGGUAAUCCUGAAUUGGGAUUAGGGUUUCGAGGAUUUUGGCACCUGAAAUUUGCGAGAUUUGUGAAAUGGGAGUGAAAAUUUUUACCUGUUUGUACCUGAGAUGUUGCUCCAGCUCGAACAAAGCUUCUCCCAUUUUGCUGUAUUGGGCUUUAAGAUCAAGAAGUUUCCUCCUUUAUAUACGGAAGUGUGAUUGGCCCUUUAAAAAUAUAAUUCUACCCCAUAUAUUUUUCUUUUUAAAUAUAGAAAGUUUAAAGGGUAGUAUGAGAAUUUUAAAGUGCCAAUAACAAUUUCUUAUAUCUCUACUAAUUAAUAAAACACUCAUUCUUAACCAAAACUCUAUGAAAUUACCAGUUUAACCCUCUAAUUGAUACAUAACAUAAAUAAGAAAUAUGGAAUAGAAAUGUAAUUUCACACAAUCAAAUUUUGUUGUGUUUUUUUGUUUUUCAAAACAUCACCUAAUCCUAACCUAUCUCUAAUUUUAAAAUAAAAAACCUUCCGAUCCCCACAUUCUCUAUCAUUCUCUUCCUCUCUCAUUCUAUUUCAAAAACAAAAAUAAAAAAAUUUCUCGCACACUUUAUGUGUGAGCAUAUGCUAGUAUAUAUAUAUAUAUACAGGCAUCGGAUUUAUAAAGACACACAUGAAUAGAGAUGACCUGGUAGUGACCUGGUAGUCGUAUGAUUAAUUUUUUUUCACAAUUUGCAGUAAUGGGGUCUGUAGUUUAUUUAGAUUUCACUUUUGUUCAAUAUAGUUUUUGUUUUACAUUUUAACUACUUACAUAUAAAAUGGGAUUCUCUUGCAACACUAUGAUCACACCAUUUUUUUACAUUUACCAAUAACUAAAUAAAUUGAAAAACCAUCACUCCCCGCUUCAUUUUUUUUACAUGUUAUCCAUCAUCAAAAAUUUUGUACCAUUUAAUUGUUAUAAACUUUGAGAAGUAGCUUUGUUUCUCAAAACAUAGUUUUCUUGAGCCACUACACCCAAACAUCACGGCAUUGGCACGAAAACUAAAAUUUUCUAUGACUAGGAAGCGUUUAUUCAACGGAUUAGACUAACGGUGUUAACUGAAUGCUAUUGUGUUGAAAAUGAAAAACAAAUAAGCUACAUGAUCUAGAGUUAAAAUUCGAGCGAAUACAGGGAUGUUAAUGCAAUUUCCCUGUAUUUAAUUUUAACAGAGAAGUACCUCUGCGGCUGUUUUUCCCUCCAUUUCUUGCAUCCCCACCUCCAAACCCAGAACUUUCAACAAAUUUCAAUGGCGAAGAAGUCCUGAGAAGUGAGAAACCACUCAAACCAACCAUUUCCCUUCACUUUCUCACCUCCCAAACACAAUGUCCAGCCUUCCCCACACCACCCUAGCCCUCCCUCCCCACCCGAACCCGUACCCUAACACACCCGCAACCCUCUCCACCGCCGUAUCCUCCGCCAGAAGCCUCACCCACCUCAGACAAGUCCACGCUCAAAUCCUAAAAUCCAACCUCGACCGCCCCGACUCCCUCCUUUUCAAUCUCCUCCUCUCCUCCUGCACCCUCUCGCCGAGCCUCCACUACCCUCUUUCCAUCUUCAACCAAAUCCCCAAACCCCAAAUCCAUUUGUGCAACAAGCUCUUGCGCGAGUUCUCACGACGCGCUGAGCCCGAUAAGGCCCUUUUGGUGUAUGAGAGGAUGAGGAGGGAGGAUGUGGGGGUGGACAGGUUCAGCAUUCCGCCGCUGCUGAAGGCGGUGGCCAGAGCUUCGGCUUUGAGUGAAGGGAUGGAGAUUCACGGUGUAGCUUGGAAGUUGGGUUUUCAUUCGGACCCGUUUGUGGAGACCGGGUUGGUCAGAAUGUAUGCCGCUUGUGGGAGGAUCAUGGAUGCACGGUUGGUGUUUGAUAAUGUCUCGCAGAGAUGUGGUUGCGUGGAGUAUUAUGAUUAACGGGUAUGAUUUGGUCUGAUGUUUUCAAGUUAAAUAAUGUGAUUAUCUUAUUAAUGGUUUUGAGAAUCCCAAGAAUUAUGGCUUUAAUUUACUCGGGAAAACAAUUUUUUUGAAGGAUUUUCAGCUGUAUAUUAUUACAACAAUUUGUUAAAAUUGUAACCCGGGAAAUUUCGCAAACAGGUACUGUCAGAGUGGCCAUUUCGACACCGCAUUCCGCCUGUUUGAAGAGAUGAAGAACUCUAAUGCGGAGCCAGAUCCAGAUGAGAUGAUACUUUCUGCCAUUCUUUCAGCUUGUGGUCAUGCUGGAAAGUUGGCUUAUGGGAAAGCAAUCCAUGACUUCAUUAUGGAGAAUGAUAUUGUGGUUGACUCUCAUUUACGGAGCGCACUUAUCGCCAUGUAUGCAGGUAGUGGCUCUAUGGACUUGGCUCAGCAGUUGUUUGACAAGACAUCACAAAAAAAUUUCGUAGUUGCAACCGCAAUGGUUUCUGGGUAUUCAAAACUGGGACGGGUUGAAGAUGCGUUUGAUUUUUGACCAAAUUGUUGAGAAGGACCUGGUCUGCUGGAGCGCCAUGAUAUCUGGUUAUGCAGAAAGUGAUCGACCUCAAGAGGCUCUUAGAUUGUUUGCUGAAAUGGAAGCUUCGGGGUUAAGACCUGAUCCAGUGACCAUGUUGAGUGUCGUUUCAGCUUGCGGUCAUCUUGGUGCACUGGAUCAAGCUAAGUGGGUUCAUUUAUAUGUUGACAAGAAUGGAUUUGGCAGAGUUUUGUCUGUCAACAAUGCGCUGAUUGAUAUGUAUGCCAAAUGCGGGAACCUGGAAAAAGCAACAGAGGUGUUUGACAACAUGAGAAGAAGAAAUGUGAUAUCUUGGACCACUAUGAUUAGCGCCUUUGCGAUACAUGGGGAGGCUAGUAAUGCACUAAACUUCUUCAAUCAAAUGAAAGAUGAAAACUUUGAGCCGAAUGGGGUUACAUUUGUGGGUGUGCUUUAUGCUUGUAGCCAUGCGGGGUUAGUUGAGGAGGGUAGAAGAGUCUUUGAAUCGAUGAUCGAUGAAUACAACAUCACUCCGAAACAUGAGCACUAUGGAUGCAUGGUUGACCUCUUUGGUCGUGCCGGUCUUUUGAGAGAAGCUCUUGAGGUUAUAGAGGCAAUGCCCUUUGCACCGAAUGUUGUCAUUUGGAGUUCUUUGAUGGCUGCUUGUCAGAUUCAUGGUGAGACUGAAUUAGGAGAAUAUGCUGCAAGACAGCUUCUUGAGCUGGAACCAGACCAUGAUGGAGCCCUUGUGGCAUUAUCAAACAUUUACGCAAAACAAGGAAGAUGGGAAGAUGUUGGCAUUGUGAGGAAAACAAUGAAAAGCAGUGGUAUAUCUAAGGAGAGGGGGUAUAGCAGGAUAGAACUAAACAACAAGGUACACGAGUUUUUAAUGGCGGAUAGAAGUCAUAAACAAGCAGAUCAGAUCUAUGAAAAAUUAGACGAGGUAGUUAGUGAGGUGAAGUUGGUUGGUUAUACUCCCAACACGAGUUGCGUUUUGUUUGAUUUAGAAGAGGAAGAAAAGAAGGAAGCGAUUCUCUUGCACAGUGAGAAGUUGGCUCUUUCUUACGGUUUGAUAAGUAAGAAGCAAGGUUCAAGCAUUCACAUAGUUAAGAAUCUCCGGAUUUGCGAAGACUGCCAUACUUUCAUGAAGUUGGCUUCAAAGGUGUAUGAGAGAGAGAUUAUUGUCAGAGAUAGGACUAGGUUUCAUCACUACAAAUAUGGUUUAUGCUCUUGUAAAGACUAUUGGUAACUGUAUUCUGUCUGAGAUUAAAUAUCAUUGUACAACUAUUUAUUAAAAUGUGAAUACGAAAUUAUUCGCUUAAACAAAUCAAUAUAGGUAUUAAGAAAAUGAAUAAUAUGAUUACUUUUCGUUGAUUAACGUGUGUGUGGCCUCUAAUAUUUACAGACACUUCCCGGGAAUUGUAUUUUCUGGAAAUUGCAGGUCGAACGGAGAAAAACUCAAAUGCAGUAUUUCAAGAGGAAGGACGUAGUAAGGUAAAAACUCUUCAGCUGCAAUGUCAUUUGGAGCCAUGUUGAAAAAGAGAUUUUGUUUGCCGAAACACGAAAGAAGCUUUUCAUUUAGAACAGUUUGAGAUGCUAUCUAUCUGGAUUCCUAUAGCCAAACAGAACCUAGUUUGUUGCUAGUUAAUCAAAAUCAGGAAAACAACAAUUUCCCAAUUAGUACAUAUACAGCUCGAGAUCAGAUUAACGAUUAAGCUCAACAGGUUACACAGUACCACCUAAUGAAGGGAACAUUUUUUCGAAGCUUCUCACAAGACAUGAGAUCCGGAUAUCUGCUGAGAGAAGACAGUGCACCUCUGAUGAUGUCCCCUGAGUCUCCUUAGGUUGGGAUUUUGAUGUUGUAGUAUGCAGAACUUUCAUGGUACUGGUUGUUGCCAAAAGUAGAUAAGAUCCAAAACUUCUGCUGCAUCUUUCCAAGCUUCCUGGAGAUCAUAUUCUUAAAGAAGGCUAUUGCUGCUGAAACCAAUCUUUGGUUAUCAAAUGUCGUGCUCCACCGAUACUCAAGAAUCCAUGUAUUCGGAUCUAGCUUCACAGCUGAGGCACCCCAAGUUCUCUGCACCCACGAAGUGUUUGGCUCCCGAAUCACAUAGCCGCCAACCUUUCCAUCCGACCACUUCUCAUCAACAACCAAAAAAGGGUCAGGAAGUAGCAUAUGUUUGUACAUCAUGACAAUAUGAUGCUAAUAGAAAUUUCAUCUACCUCAAAAGUUUUUAGCUUUACCUCCGUGACUUUGCCGGAUAAGAUUGUGAAAGACCGGGAAGAAAACCCACUCGUGAGCAACCCAGCUGUCUGCAAAGGCCAUCCCCAUAUUCUCACCUCCUCGAUGGCAGAUUUGUACAACGUGCAAUGUGAGCUCAGAAGCAAACCAUCCUAACAUUUCAUCAUAUAACCAGUCUGUGAGUUUUAAAACAGAAAUUUCAAGUUCGUUACCAAAUAAUGCUGAUUGAACUUUCAAAGGAAAUGUUUGAUAACUAGUACCUGACUAAUAUCCCAAAUAGAAUUAGGAUAGCUGCAAUUCGAAACCCUGCCCGGAACAAGACCCUGCAUCUCUUUCUGCAAGAACCUCAGCCUGCCAUUCAAAUCAUCCAUAACCCAAGAUUUUUCACCAACAUUUCUCACAAUCUCCGGCGAGAGAAUAGGUUUUAAAGCCCCCGAAACCAUAUUAGAAAACCCGCACCUUGCCACAUACACCAAGCUUAAACCCAAAAUCAAUCUCCAAAUUUCACACCCAAAACCCCUUUUUCUCUCCCUCUUCUUAAUCUUCUCCUUCGAUUUCAAUCUUGCAGCCGGUUAAGAUCCGGAGACAUAGGAAUCGGAGGAGAGCCCGAAGUGGGUGUAGACAAAAUCGAAGCAUCGAAAGAGAUGGGAGUGCGUUUGACACUUGGCUUGUUCUUGGGCCUUGAAGAUGAGAACUUGGUGAGCGAGGUUUUUUGGAUGCUGAAAGGCAUGAGAUCGAGAGUGGCAUUGAUGCUGGCCAAGCACAUUUCGCAGUUGCAGUUGGCAUCUUUUCGGCAUCCUGGGUAGUAGCAGCUGUCGCGGUUUUCAGAUCUGUCGUCAUCCAUGGCGGUGGUGGUGCUCGAUUUCACUGAGGAUGAUGUCGUUGUCAUCGACGGCGACGAUGAGAGGGCGGAUUUCAUGGCUGCUUGAGCGUUUCGGGGUUUAGGAGACAGGCUUUGUUUCGUUGACAUGGUCUUUGAAGCGUUCACAACUAUGCUGUGUGGGGAGAGAUAUGGUUUUUAAAAUUCGAAUCCCCAACGGUCAUAUAUGGCAUGAUUUGCUGCUGUCUCCAAAUUUGGUGUCUCCUACAUGUCUCUCCUCUCAUUUGUUGACAUGUGUACAACCCCCUUACUUCAACUCAACUCUAUUAACUUUUAUUAAAUUAACAAAUAAAUACUACCAAAAAAAGAAUAAACAAAGAAAUUCGCAGAUGCUAAGUCACACAACUAGACAACUUCGUCAACCGCCACAAGUGGUAACAUGAGCAUUUUUGCUCACUAUUAUAACUAUGGUGUAUGCUCAUCAUACACUUAAAUAUUUGUCAUGUGUCUGUUCAGCUAACUCUAGUUAACUUUCACAUGUUACUUUUUCAAUUUUGUAAGAAAUUAAUCAAAGUUAAGUAAAAAAACAUAUGACAGAUGAUUAAGUAUAUAAUGAAUAUACAUUAAAGUUUAUGAUGGUGAGCAAAUAUGCUUCUCGCCGUAACUCCUCUCCAACUGGUUGCCACCAUUCCUGAACUCCUUCCCCUCUCUUUCUCUCCUGGCUCAAGAUUCUCAUAGCAAACUUCCAUAUUUAACAAUUGAUUGCUUUAUUGUUUUAUUGCACAGUUGCUUAUUUUCACAACACAAUAGAAGUUUAUUUUUUAUUUUUUUAUUCAAAACACAUCAAUACCAAACUAACCCUAAGAAAUGAGAUUAUUUGUUAACUAGCUUAACAAAAUUAGGACGCAGAGGAAAUAUUAUAUUCAUGCAUCAUCAUUGAUUCCGUUGUGUUAAAAUGCAUUGUAGUUAUUGUCCUAUUGAGCUAGUAGCUCACCCCUUAUAAAUUAUUAACAAGUGAGACUUGAAAAGUAGUCGACUUUCACUGAAAGUCUUAAGGAAAUUUUAUUAUGAAAAUUCGAGUGUUCUCUUAUGUUUUUGUGAAACCUUAUGAUGUAAAUUAAGGUUUGUUUAAAUAAGGAACAAGAGUUCCAUACUAGAGUUGGUUGCCUUUUGUAUUCUGGAAAGACAAAGGAUGAAUUGUAAAGUAAAGACAAACUCAAGUUUAGUUUGUUUGUUGUUAGUUUCUCUGGGGUCAUUCUCUUAUUAUUUUAUUUUUGUCGCGUCUGAAUUAUGAAAAUUGCAUAUUCUAUAUUUGAGACGCGUUUCACACCUUAAUUCAAGACUUAGCUAUAGUUUUCCGAAUUGAGGUGUGCCUUGCAUUCAUUAUUUAAGAUAUCAAAGAGCCCCUGACUCAUUCUAUAUUGGUGUGACAAGGUGUAACAUGUUUGUUAAAUGACCCCUGAGAUUUGCAUAACACAUCACUUUGGUCCCUGAGAUUGAAAAUCAAUAGAAAUAGUCCCUGAGAUUAUUCACCAUCCAUUAUUUUGGUCAUUCCGGUAAGUUGUUCCAUAGUUCAUACUGGAAACUGAGAUUUUUUGCCGAAAGUUUGGGCAAUUUUCAAAGUUUCAUAACUCAAUUGUUUCUUAACCAAAUUCGACUCAUAAUAUAUCAAAAUGAAGAUAGUAAAGUGUUGAAUAAGAUUACACCUAUUUGGAAGCCCAAUGGUUGCUAGAGAUGCCAGAAAAUAACCUAAAAGGUGACUGGUCCACGGGAAAACUGGAAAACUUGCCGAAAACUAGGUAAACUUUAAACGUUCAUAACUUCUUCAAUACUCAACGAAAUCAAGUGAUUCAAAAAUGAAAAUCGUACUUCUCGACAAGAUGAAGAGAAUGGUUUCUCUUUUUUUUUUGGCUAAUUCACCUUGGUUUGGCCGGAAAAUAGCCUGAAAGGUGACUGGUCAUUGGGAAAACUGGAAAACUCUCCGGAAACUAGAUAAACUUUAAACAUUCAUAACUUCUUCAAUACUCAACAAAAUUGAGUGAUUCAAAAAUGAAAAUCAUAAUUCUCGAUGAGACAAAGAGAAUGAUAUGUUUCGUGAUGGCUAAUUUCUCAUGGUUUGGCCGGAAAAUAGCCCAAAAAGUGACUGGUCUACGAAAAAACUGGAAAACUCGUCAGAAACUGGGUAAACUUUGAACGUUCAUAUGCAAGCAGCUGAUAGCAAGCACAGAUAGUAAAAAACUAUAGGCCAACAAGCACAGGCGGCAACACACCAACACAAAUCCCUGCAUAUUUCAUGUAAUUGACACUCCUUAAAUAUAUAUAAUUUUAUAUAUAUUUCAUGUACUAAAUCCUAAAUAUAUAAUAAUAAUAUAUAUCGAAUACCAAUACGAUGCCAAAAAACUUUGGUUCGGUACAUUAUCGUGCCAUUACCAAUUGGUACAAAAUCGGUAUGGUACAGUUGGCAAUUCAGUGUGCACGGUAAUUUGGCAAAAAAUCCACCUCUAUAUAUGUUACAUAUAUAUGUGCAUGGCAUCAUCGUUCAUAUAAUAUUCACGGUCUUAAUCAAUUUACUGUCCCACACAAUUCUUCUUCGUACAAAACUUGAGGAAUAUGUAUAAGAGAUGAGUUAAACAUAAUGUUAUAGAAGAAAAAUUAUGUUCUAUCUAAAAAUAGAUGAUCUACAACGGUUAAUUGGAUUGAUGCUCGUGAAUAACUUAUCCUAGCAUGUUUUUGAGAUGGCUUCUUGCAUUUUUAAUCAAGGAAGGACUCAAGUGGUAUUCAUACGUGCCAAGUGUCGCUUUAGCAACAUUAUGGUACUCUUGAUGAUAAAGAUUGUUGAAAUUUUCUUCCCCAAUCGCUGAAUAUUAUAGUGGGGAAAGUCAUGCAGUAGGUAAUACAUGUUGAGUCUUAUUUAUUAGUCCUUUCAAGUGGAGUUGGAAGUUGACACAUAUUUAUUGCAAUUAAGUUAUAUACAAUGGGAAUACCAGAUAUGAUGUUCCUUAGUGUUUGAUUUAAUAAAUCAAUGCCAACCCAGGAAAAAAAAUAAUCCCAAUCAUUCUGCAUUCUUCCAAAUACUUCAUGCCCUUUCUCUCUUUAUUCUUUUCGGGUGCUAUACACUUGAAGCAUAUUAGCAAUUUGACUGGCCAAGUAAAACAAGCUUUCUAAAAAAUAGUGAAUGAAAAUUUACUGCAGGAUUUAUUGAAGCAACUUUUUUCUCGUCAAAAUAAUAUCACUAGACUUGUUCUGUAACAAAAGCAAAAUGAGGAUGGAUUCAAUCUUGUAAAGCAUUUUGUACAAGUGAUAUCUUAAACUAUUAUGUUUAUAGAGAGGGUGAUUUGAACUCGAGUGGAAGGAGGUGCACACAGUAUCUCAGCUAACGAGCCUAAUCAACAUUUACAGCUUUUCAGAAAUUAUUUUAUUAAAAGAAAAAAGAAUGAAGAUAGUUUUAAUUACGUUCCUCGUGAAUUUUAAAAAAAUUAAAGUUAAAACGUAAAGAUUUUUACUGACAAUUUGUCUUUCCAACCAAGGAAAGAAGAGUAAAACAUAUCCCAUAUCAAAUGGAACAUAAUAUAUCAAAAUUCCACUACCUUCAUAUUAUAUUAAUUAUUCCAACCCAGCAAGAAGUAUGGUUGCAAUUAGCUCAUGAGAAAGAUGAUGAAUCGCCCACUUGGGAUGUGCUUGCUGAUCUUGUGUACUUUUUUGGCGAUGAAGAAGAAGAUGACAUGUCUGACCUUCUCCUAAGCAUCUGCCUCAUCCCAUCUGCCACUCUCACUGCAGGGUUGGAUUUAAAUUUACCACAAAAUGACAUGUGUGCCCUCACAGCUUCCUCCAUGCCAAAUGGCUGCUUGCUGCCCUUGCCAACCUCAUCUCUCACUGCUUCUGAGCACAACCCACACAGCCAUUUCCCAUCAAACUUUGCCUUCACUUGUGUGAUGUAGUCUUGCGUGCAAUCCUCUUUUAGUCCACAACACUCACACCUCACCAUCUCAAUCUCCAUUCUUUUUCUUUUUUCCUUUGUUUUCUGCUUAGCUGAGUAGCAAAGCUCUGAUGAAUUGUGAAGGGAUUCAAGAGAAAAGUGAGAUGUUUUUAUUUGUUGGAUUGGAUUGCAAUGAUGGGGUAGAAAGUGGGAUUUCUUUUCAUUUGUUCUCUCUUGAGAUGUGUUGCUGGUGUUGCUCACUUGGUUGCUUAAGAAACUGUGAAGUGUUUGAUUUACAAGAGCUUUUAUGGUUGGGAUUUUCGUUUUCUAUUGGUUAUUAGGAAUUCAGGAGAUGAGAGAGACGGAGAGAGGAAAGAGAGGGGAAAGAGGGGGGCCGGUGGGGGGCGGGGGAGAGAGCUCUUAUAAGACCAGGGUAGGGAAAACUGCCAUAAUUUCCUCCAUGUUCAAAGGAACAUGGGGCAGUGGGAAAUAAGACAAGAGUGGUCGGAGGGGUCCUCAAACCUGGCCCUUUCUAUCAUAUCCAAAUACUUAUUCUUAUCCCCCCCAGAAAUAAACAAUGUUAAUUUGUGGGUUUUGGGGUUGUGUAUAAAAAUAUAUUUGUAGCUUUUUGGUAGUUUGACAGUUACUUUCGGUUGAAAUGGGUUGAAAUAUUUGCCUUGUAUUGGAUGUGGCUUCACUUAGCUCCCUAAACUUGUGGCUGACGAGUCAGGCUUGGAAUUAUUACUUUUGGUAGUUUGUUUGGUUAUCUUGGUUCCAUGAACGUGUUGACUGCUGACCAUCUGACUUUCAUGUGUGAAUUUAGAGCUUACUAUAGUAAUAAGGCCAACAUCACCAUGCUUUGUUGACCAAGAGGCCAUGGGUUGUUCAACGGCCAAUGAUUUGAUGAAGAUGUGCAUUAUUGGGGUUUAUGAUUGUGCGUCUGCUCACUGUGCAUGUGUACAUCCUUCCUCCUCUCAACUGGUGAGGAGACAUUUUUAGAAAAGACUAUCGCAUACAUAAGUUCUUUCACGAUGACUCUCUCCUUUACAAUAAUAUAAGACAACUUUUUUAUUGGAAGAAUUUUACCAUCAAGAGUUAUGUGAAGAGCCUCUCACCAACAAUUUUGAGCCAAAAGGUUAGAAAUUUCUUCUCUUUGUACUAGAGGAGAUUCACAAGUUUUAAUCAAUUUGUUAUAAACAAAUGAUCCACCUACUUGGAGGGCUGCUUACACCAAUAUUUAACAUUUGCAUAUUGCUAAGAAAUUUAUUGUUCAACAGUUACAACAUGUGUUUCGUGAAGCUAACAUAGCAGUAGGUGAGAUGUUGCGAAUUUAGGUUAUUAACUACAUUCAAAAUUCAUGUAUUUGGUUUUGUAAUAUCCUAUGUACUGUGGGCACCAAUAAGUACCUGACAUGUGAUAGGUCGUAUCAUACUUCAUGAAAAGGGUACAUGUCACACAGAAAAUUUUACUCAAAAAAUUUAAAGUACUAUGUCAUAUGAUUUAAAAUCUUCAAUAUAAGGUUCUAAUGGAUCUUGCAACAGUUGGAAUUUGCAUAAAAUUCGUAUCACUAAGUAAGACGUAGUAUUGUAGCCGGACCUCUCUUUCUAACCCGUUCCUAAUGAUUUCCAGUAUUCUUGACAAAAAUUUACCCUUCAUCCUUUGGCCGUCAGAAUUGAAUGCGAUCAUGACAUGAAACUUGAUCAUUCUUGAUCAGUAUUCAGCCAUUAUUGCAAUAAUUAAAACAACCUUUUCCUCCUUUUUUUUGUUUCUUCAAGAGAGAAGGUAAUGAUCAUUUGCUCUAGCCAAAAUUUACAAGUACGUACGCUGUUGUGUUUCCUCCAACAAAUCCCACCUAAAGAAAUUUAUUUAUUUAUUUAGUUAUUUAUUUUUUUUGUAAAAUGUAUAACAUUUGUGAUGCAUUGUUGACAUGCUCAUUGGCCAAUCUGCACUGCAAAUCUUUGUCAACAAUUUGUUUUUAUUUUUCUGGGGUUGGUGAUGCAAUGCAACUGUGUCAUGGCAUCAUUGAGAAGGAAGCAAUGUCUAUGAUCAAGAUUUGUUAACGUCGUAUUCUGGUGGUUCUGAAGAUGCGUUCUUGGCAUGCUCCAAAGCUGCCAUCACUUCUGUUGUAGUAGAUGAUUUUUGUCACGUCGUGUAAUGUGGACUUGAUUUGGCUUUAGGGUUCACUAACGUAGCCACGUACGUAGCGGUUAAUAAUUGGUCGAUUUUAUAGUAGCAUGAAUUAUUAAUUUGCAGAGUUUAAUUACAAAAGGAAAGUGAUGUUAACAUUUUAACUGGAGAGUAUAUAGUAACAUGAAAACAAAUCUGUAGAUGCGUAUUGCAUACCUCAUAUGUUCAAACGUUUAUUUAUUUAUUGGAUAAAAGUUUUUCAGUAUCGAAAGUCGCAUAAUUUGUAAUUUGUAAUUGUCAUCGCUUUGAGACUGAAAAUUUAUCAAAGCGAAGAUUUUAUAAAUUAAAUCUGAGCUUGAACAUUAUGAGUUGGAUACGAUCAAAUUUGUUGCAACUUAAAAAUUAGAGAAAUACGAUGGCCUCCAUUUAUGAAAGUCAAGAUACAAUUUAAACCUACGUCACCAAUAGAAUAAAACUACGAAAUAAUAAUGCAAUAACAAAUUAAAGGUUAAGUGCAUUUUGCACUCUUUUUGGUAUAGAGUUCAUGAAUUUUUGGUCAUUUUCUCGAAAGAAAAAGGCAACCACAAAGUUACAAUCGUUAAUAUAAUAGGGUAACUGUUUGUCAAACUGUGGAGGCAAAUACUCUUGUUUUUUUGUGUGGCUCUCGGUGGGUACGUAAUUUACUAUAUGAGCGUCAUAUCAAUGUAAUGUGGAACCACAAAAUCAAAUAAUAAAUUUUUCGACCUUUUUAAUGUCAAAUUCUUUAAGGGUAUAAAAAUGAGCACUACAAGCUUCCAUGCCAAAUUUUUUUUUUCAUCAUGUAAUCUGCAACUUUAAGAUCGUUUUUAUUAAUUUCAUAAACUAUAACCAUCAAAAGUUAUGAAUCCCAAACUAUACAAAGGUGAGAAAAGUGAGUGACCUUAGAGGGAAAUACUCAGCCAACUUAGGUGCUAGUUUCAUUUGCCCUCAUUCUACGCACAUGAGAUAUUUUCUUAUGUCACAAUCUCACCACAUGACAAUCAUUCAAUUGAUAAUCAGUGUAUUUUUAAAUAUAUGGCAAACGUUUUGUAAUUAUAUAGUAACAUCAAUAAAACUAAAACUCGGUUCUAUGACAUAAUUAACAUCCAAAACAGCUCAUCCUUGCAAGUUUGCAAAUUCUGGCAGCCAUCUUUAUCCAUACUAUUUACAAAGACCGUUACUUUCAUCAUUCCGUCCAAUGAAAUUAAGAAAAACUUUUCAAAAGGGUUUUCUUUUGUUAUUCCCGCACACCAAAUUUUGCAUUUGUGCAUAAAUGAUCAAAUCAGAUCCUUACUGACCAUCUUUUUAUUAUCAUAUUUUGAUUAAUUUGAGUGGUUGUAAGGUAAUGAUAUAUAAUUAAGUACUGAAACAUGACCCUAUUUAUAUGAAAAUGCAAAGCAGAUCAGUAAUAAUUUCUAAUCUUAAUCGCAUAUGAUCAUCUUAUCCUCUAAUAAGUUACCAUGUAAAGAUAUAUUAUCAAGUGAUAUGGACCACAUACAACUAAUCAAUUGGAUUUAGAUCGUAAUAAUAGUCCACAAGAAAAAAACCAUAUCAAUAAUUGGAAUCAUUGAAUAAAAACACCUACUUACGUGCAAGUGUCUGCCCAGAAAUCUUACGACUUAAUCAUGGACUAGUGCAUCUUAAGCAAUGUUAGCAAUAAGCACACUGAACCGCCACGCAACUGAAGAUUUGACUGGUGAGCCAGAUAGGUUUUUUUCAUAUAUCCAAGCUAAGCCUAAAAGCCUCAACCGUUUCCAAAAAAAAAAAAAAAAAAAAAAAAAAAGAAUAUGCAGAUGUUUUAAUUAUAAAGGAAAACGUCACAAUUAAUAACUUUUAAUUUUGAUUUGUACAUUUCUACAGUAUAAUGAUUGCAACCUCGGUGACAUGUACGUAUGUACGUAUACGUCUUGUCCUUCAACUGAUAGAUACAUAGUACAUAACCUGCAUCUGGACUUUUAUAAUACAUUUUUCACUAAAAGUAUCGUAAAAGUAUCUAUUCUUCAUAUGGGACGUACCAUGUUGUCACGACGUGAUUUAAAUAUGUAGAUUUGCGUCAAUUUCAUCCAUCAAUCAUUAUUGACUUACAACUUAUAUUUAACUCUGUAUGAGGGAAAACUUACGUAUGUACCUAAGAGAAUUAGAACAAUAUGAUCUUGAUGAGUGUUGUAAAUAAAGUUAUCCCAUGACACAGUGGUAUCUAACUUUAUGGCAAGAGAAGUCUUUAUCUACGCUUAGUGUUGAUUUCAUCCAAUUAAUCUAUUUCUUUCAUCGGAUGAAAUCCAUCUGCAUAAGUGUUCACAUGCUAUCUCGCUGAAUUAAUCCAGAUAUUUCAAUUUCUUUCCAAAUACAUGAAUUUCACAUCUCGUCCUUGACAAUGCAUCUUCACAAUACAUCCACGAGAGGCUUGAGAGAGCCCACAUUGCUCACAAUAGUUUUGGAACGUUCUAUUCUUGAAACAAGAGAAAAUUAGAGCAAUGGUUCUUGAAUUUUGGCUCAAUUAGAGUUUUGUUUCUAAAAUCAUGAGUCUUGCUCUCUGAGCUUGUCACAACAAUGAUAAUACGUUAGAAAUUUCAUCCAAAAUAAAGAGUUUAAAAUGAUAAAAGUAGAUGAAAAUUUUAAAGGAGUUAGCCAAAUUAACCAUUGCUCUACAUUAAGUUCAAUGACCAUCACUCACGGGAUUUUAGUUCAAGGACCAAAACAAAGCUCCAAUUGAAUUAAAAUUCAAUGGUUGUUGCUCCAAUUAUCUCUUGAGGAAGUAUGAUUUUUUCCCUAAGAAAAAUACAAAACUUAGGGUUUGCAAUAUCUCUCAAACCUCUGAGAGAGAAUUUUUCUCACAUAGUAAAACACAUUUAAUCAUUAAAAAGAGACUAGAAUAAGAUGACUGCAUUCAAUAUAGAGCCAAGUAUUCUUGGUCUAUAACUAUCACGGGGUAGCCCAGUAGUUGGGACCAAAUUUUAGGCUCAUAUCCUAUAGGGCCGACGUGCCUAUUUCCUGCUGAUAAAUCACACGAUGGAAACCAGAGAAAGGCUAAAACGUCUUUGUGAGUCUUUCCCAGCCUUCGAAAAUGUGGAUUGUUAUGGCGAAGCCACCAGCUAGUCCCCUUUUUUGUUUAAAAAAAAAAAAUGUAUUCUAUGUCUAUAUUAUAGGUCCCAUGGUCCUACGAAACCGAAGGUGGAUGGACAAGCCAUGGCCAAGCAUGUGGGGUUGCCCAAAUGAAGAGCCUCAGUUUGCCAUAAAACCGUGGCCAGAGAAAGACUAGUCCUAGUCAUGGAAACCCGACGUUUGAGUACUUGUCCGGUAGAUGUCCGGCAAUUCUAAUGGCCACCAUAGUUUUCCAACCGCAACUGAUUUGUUUGUGGGGUUGAUCACAAGAUAUGACCCAAUUCCAAUCACUAUAAAAAAUUUCUUUCCAGACGAAAUAGUUUUGUUGGGCUAAAUAAGGUUUUGUCACCUUUUUAUUUACCUAACAACAUUUCAUCGUGCAAUAUCGUGCAAUGUCCAUCACGUAAAACCAAUCACUAAAGGGUUUGCUCAACAAAUUAUAGUACUCGAUCGGACAAUACACGUUGCCCGAUGAAAUAUAUUCGUCGAGUACAGUGCGCUGACCUUUAGCCCGACGAAUGAAACUUGCCUAACGACGUCAUUUAUCCAGACAUAAAAAAAUUAAAAACUAUUUUGCCCAAAGAAAAAGUUAACAGGCAAUUACUUUAAAGAAAAAAAAUAAACAAUACAAAAUACAUGCUCAACGAAAAAAAUUGUCGGGCAAACGUUUUAAUUUUUCAAUACAAAAAUUUGAAAUUUAAAUUAAUUAUUUAGUUUUAAUUAUAUUAAAAAUAAAAUUACAAUAUUAAAAAUAUAUAUUUAGUUAUAUUAAAACUAAAUUAUUCGCAGUAAAAUAUGAUAAACUAACCACAAGGCUGGUGGGAUGGCCACCUACCAUCGAAACUCCUCCUGUUGGCGCUAAGCUUCUUUUCGCUUGCACUGGUCUACUAACUCCAUCUCCUGCUGUUGGAGUCUGGAAAGCGUCCGGCUUGGAGUCUAAAAGCUAGAUGUAGAAGAUCCCCCCAAGUCUCCAACCAAACCCGCUUUUAAGUCGCAUAUCUCUUUUGCCCUUCCGUCGCCAAACCCCGUCCAUUGGCAAUUGUAGACACACCUCUGGAUCCAGUGGCGGAUCCAGAAAAUAAUAUUAUGGGGGGUUAGUAAGAAUAGCACGCGCAGGGCGCAAAUUUUUUUAUACCAAAAAUAGCAUGCAUAUCGCCAUUUCAUCGAGUCUUAGUAGGCUUGAAAUCAUUUGAAAAUGCAUACUACAGACAUGUUAAUGUAUGCAAGGGGCAGCACCCAAGGUAUUCAUGGACAUUCAUCGGGUUUUGGUAGGCCUGAAGUCGGUUGGAGGGCAAGUAUGAAGCCAACUCUAAUCUUCAAAAGGGCAACACUCAAGAUGUCCAUGGACAUUCACCGAAGUUCGAAGGAUCAGCAUCUAAGGUAUCUAUGGACGUUCAUCGAAGUUCGGGGGGGUUGACCCCCUUGCCCCUUAAUGGAUCCGCCAGUGUCUGGAUCAUGUAUCAGCUCCUACAUUGGCGUGUCUAGUUGCUGCUUCAAGAGGUUGGCGAGGUACUUCGUCUUUCUUCUGCAACGUAGAAAACUACCAAAUAAAGAGUAUCGAUCAUAAGUAUAGAAUUUAAAAUUACAAUUUUGAACAUAAUAUUUAUGUAAAUGUUGUCAGCCACAUGGUUGCCAUAAUUGGCAUGCGUAUCCCUCCGAGUCUCAACUUCCAGGAAAAACGCACCCUUCUCACGAUGUUCCUUGACCCUAUAAGUGAGGGGUCGAGAAUCAGAGUGAUGAAGGUACGGCUUCGCCUCCCAAUUAGCCUUAUUUGCUGUCGAUUUUCACUGUGAAUUUAAAAAAAAAAUUUGAAAAGCAUAAAAUUGGAAUGAAAUUUUAACAAAAGUAUAGUAGUACACAUGCAAGUCAUACUUCCACUCCUUGUACCAUCCAAUCCACACCUUGUUUAUGUACUUGAACAUACCCUGGUGUUCCAUGCCAAUGGAGAAGUUGACCUGAAAUAGAGAAGAAAAAAAAGUGUAUUGGUUUAAAAUAAUAAAUUAAAUAAGUAAAAGAAAUAAAAAAAAUUAAAAAUUUAAAAAAAUUCACACUUACUGAGAUCUGUCUCACAAUCUCCUCUCGCACCUGGGGUGAGCAUGGGGCACUUGGUGCAAAUAAUGGCAACCAUGUCAUGAGUCAACAAGGUGUUGACUUUCAAGUUUGCUCGCUGGUGCAGUGGGCUACAAUCGACCACGAUUUUACAAAUAAUAUUUCAUAACAUGACAUUAUUUCAUAAAAUUCAUUUAUUUACUGCAAAUUUCAUUUCUCUCCUACAAAUUUCAUUUAUUUUCUAAAAUAUUUCAUAAAUUUCCUUCAAUUUCACAACAUUUCAUAAUGUUCCUACAAUUUUCACAUAUUUCACAUAUUCCUACAAUUUUCACAUAUUUCAUCAAAACCCAAGAUCUCACACAUGCAAAUGAUAUAAAUGAAACAUAUGAGCAAGCAUACCUUUGGUUAUUGGGGAAGAGAGAGAGUGAGAGCACGGUGAGAAAGCAAGCACGGUGAGAGAGAGGACGGAGAGACAGAGAGAGAACAUGUCACUUAAAAAUGUACGCCUAACUUAAUUUUUGACGGAAACAUGGUGGGAAAUUGCUUUUGCUCGACGAAAGUUUAAAAUAUUUCGUCGAGCAAAUUCUUUAAUUUGGGGAGAAAUUACUUUUGCCCGAUGAAAUUAGGUACAUAGCUCGUCGGGCAAACAUAAAAAAAUUAUUUAUUUUCCUUAUUUUUUGUUUAAUUUUAAACGAUUAAACUAUCAUCAAAUUUGAUGAUCAGGUCAAUUCAGUGUGGUUUUACUCUCAAUUAGCGUCCUUGAAAAAAAAGUCAUCAAAAUCAAAGGUCGUAUUGCCGUUAAAUCGUGAUGAUACAUUUUUAACCAUCAAAUAAUUUUGUCUCCUUACCUAAUCCUUGAAAGUUUGUUUUUGGUGAUUUUUGGCUAUGCGAUCUCGUACUAUAUUCAAACAAGUUUGAUUGUUGGAUCAUGGAAAUUAGUUUUGUAGACUGUGUAUCCCGUGAUAACAAUGGAUUCAAAAAAUGCUUAGAGUUUAUUCUAUACUUCUAUUAAGUAGACAUAAGAUUUUGUGGUAACCGCUAGUUUAAAUAUUCUAAAUUGAUGAUCGUAUUCGUUCAUUGUAUUCUUUUGGGAUCGAGGAGUGUAGUUCUAAAAAAAUCAUCAAAAUUGGAACUAAAUUAACAGUU
rnacentral:lncRNA from 1 species